AACAUGGCUGCAUUUUGAAACAGAAUCAACAACAUUUAACAAUAUUAUUCCAAAACUCGCAAAAGCAAAGUUUGAAUUCCCUUGAUGAAUUCAAUCAAGGUCUUUAACGAUUUUGAUUCCCAUGCUACUAGCAGUACCAAUAAUAGACUUGGAAAUUGACUCAAGAGGCAUGUUCUGCAAGUAAGGAUCGGACUGUUUAACCUUAGCGAUUUCAUACACGUGCCGAAGUGAAAGAGUUGUGGCGGUCACGUGACCUGGACGAGUACUUCCCGAUUCGAUGCCGGCGGCUUUCUUGAGGUACCACGUGACGGAAGGAGAUUUAACUGUGAAAUCAAACGUGUUAUCUUUGUAAGCUGUUAUUGUAACCGACAUUGGAGUAUCUGCCUUGAAUUUCUGAGUUCGUGCGUUGAAGUCUUUGCAGAACGCCAUUAGGUUAAGUCGGUAUUGACCUAACGCUGGUCCCACUGGUGGCGCUGGACGUGCGGCACCUGCCGGAACUCUCAAUCGGAUCGUCGCUGCUACCGCCUUAGGAACGCUCAUCGUCGACGACUGGAAGUGGUUGUGGUGGUUUGGGUUUGAGAUUGAUGAGAGCAGCCACACAACCAUUGAGGGUUUAACCUUCCUUGUUCAUAAUUUGGGCUGGGCUGGGCUGGGCUGCUCAAAUAUCAUUUUAUGGGCUGGGUACUUCUUUUUCAAAAACAACUACAAGCUCUUGAAAACUUCUUUUUCCACUCUAGAUUUUUUUUUUCAACUUUUAAAUUUUAUUAGUCAAAAUAGUCAAUUUAAAUAUGUAUUUAUAUCUAUAAUCUACCUCUAAAAUGUCUUGCACUAAAACAAGUAGUACUGAUAAAGGUUAAAAAAAGUCAUUAUAUAUACAUAGCGUUUUAGCAGAUUCAUUUAUACUUUGAUUGUAAUUAUUGAAUUCCAUGAUAAAAAUACAUUUUUAAUUUAUUAGUUACCCCAUUUUUGUUUGUCUGUUCCAAGGACACAAGUUUGGUUCAAAGGAGGGGAGGGAGGAGAGGUUUUUAAUGGCUUUGUGUUUGGUUCAAAGGGAAGAGAGGGAUUUUUAAUGGUAUUUAAGUUACAUGGAGCUCCUCCCCUCCCUCCAAAUCCUCCCAAAAUGGAGAGAAAGCAAAAUAAAUUCUAGAAGGGAUUUUGGCUCCCUCUUCUUCCCCCUCCUAAAAAUUAAAUCAAACAUAAAAACUUAAAAAUAUUACACCUCCCCUUCAUCUACCUCCAACCAAACACACCCUAAUUGAAGUCUUUAUAGAAACAAGACCUACAAAUCAGUUUCAGUUUCUUCCACUAAACUUGUAUUGUAUUCAACAGAAGACAUAAAAACACAACAAAACCAUGGUAAGCAUAUGAAAAACAGAGCAAAACAUGGCUGCAUUUUGAAACAGAAUCAACAACAUUUAACAAUAUUAUUCCAAAACUCGCAAAAGCAAAGUUUGAAUUCCCUUGAUGAAUUCAAUCAAGGUCUUUAACGAUUUUGAUUCCCAUGCUACUAGCAGUACCAAUAAUAGACUUGGAAAUUGACUCAAGAGGCAUGUUCUGCAAGUAAGGAUCGGACUGUUUAACCUUAGCGAUUUCAUACACGUGCCGAAGUGAAAGAGUUGUGGCGGUCACGUGACCUGGACGAGUACUUCCCGAUUCGAUGCCGGCGGCUUUCUUGAGGUACCACGUGACGGAAGGAGAUUUAACUGUGAAAUCAAACGUGUUAUCUUUGUAAGCUGUUAUUGUAACCGACAUUGGAGUAUCUGCCUUGAAUUUCUGAGUUCGUGCGUUGAAGUCUUUGCAGAACGCCAUUAGGUUAAGUCGGUAUUGACCUAACGCUGGUCCCACUGGUGGCGCUGGACGUGCGGCACCUGCCGGAACUCUCAAUCGGAUCGUCGCUGCUACCGCCUUAGGAACGCUCAUCGUCGACGACUGGAAGUGGUUGUGGUGGUUUGGGUUUGAGAUUGAUGAGAGCAGCCACACAACCAUUGAGGGUUUAACCUUCCUUGUUCAUAAUUUGGGCUGGGCUGGGCUGGGCUGCUCAAAUAUCAUUUUAUGGGCUGGGUACUUCUUUUUCAAAAACAACUACAAGCUCUUGAAAACUUCUUUUUCCACUCUAGAUUUUUUUUUUCAACUUUUAAAUUUUAUUAGUCAAAAUAGUCAAUUUAAAUAUGUAUUUAUAUCUAUAAUCUACCUCUAAAAUGUCUUGCACUAAAACAAGUAGUACUGAUAAAGGUUAAAAAAAGUCAUUAUAUAUACAUAGCGUUUUAGCAGAUUCAUUUAUACUUUGAUUGUAAUUAUUGAAUUCCAUGAUAAAAAUACAUUUUUAAUUUAUUAGUUACCCCAUUUUUGUUUGUCUGUUCCAAUAAUUUUGAUUAUUCUAAUUAUUUUUAUUAAAUAUUAAAGAAUAUAUUUUGAUUUUCACAACAACAAAAAAAUUAUGAACUUUAUUUUUCUUAUAAACAAAAUGAAUUAAGAGAAAACAAGAGAUACUCCAACCAUUUAUAAAAUAUAUAAAUCACAUAAUAGAAAGAUACUUCAUAAAAUUGAUAAAUCAAAAUUGUAAAUAGUAUAUUUCCUUCUUUCCAACACAACAACGUCCGAAUUUAAUUUUAAUAUAUUAAGAAUUAAAGUUAAGUUUAAAAAAGAGAUAAAUAAUUAAAGAAAAAUAAAAUUUAAAAUAAUUCUUUAAAAAAUUGUUUUACAAUUAAAGUGAGUAUUACAUGUAGUUAUUGAAGCACAGAUGUAAUAGUGAAAAUUGAUUGGUUUAUAUUACAAUUACAAUUUUAAAUCUAACUACUUGAUUUAUUUUCUAGAGUUCUCCGGUCUUUCAAAAUAAGCAUUACAUGUAGUUAUUAAAGCACAAAUGUAAUAGUGAAAAUUUAUGAUAAUUAAUAGGUGUUUUCCUUUAUUUUGUCGAUCAAUAUUUUUGUUGUGUGUUAACUUUUGAGUCAAAUGUUCUUUUAAGAAUUUAUUUGAUGAUUUAUCAUCUUCUAUACGAUUUAAUAUGACAACUUUUUAUGUUUAAUCUAAAUACUAAAUACUAAUUUGGUUCAUCAGUAAUUUGAGAUGUCUCAAAUAUUCCACAAUCAAAUGAUGUCAAAGGAAACUUUAAAAGGUGAUGGAAGAAAAUAAUUUUUAGAAAGAUUUAGAUUGAUAUAUUAUAGUGAGUUAUAUGCAUAUUUGUUAGAAUAUUCCUGUUAUGUUUUGUUAAAUAUACACAUUGGUCAAUUCUAAUCAUUAUGAAGAAAUGAAUUAGGAAGUAAGUUUUUAGUCUAUUAGUCUCUUUGAGAAUAUUUCCUCCUAAACUAAUAUACCCUUAAAAAAUAAGAAAAAACAUAGUAUCCACGAGGACAGUAGGACGUACCGGAUAAGUAGCCAUGUUUCAUAGGUUAGAGGUGUUUUCUUUCUAAUUUUUUGUUUGUGCAUUUUUUUAAUUUCUUUUUGGAUAUUUCUACUUUUUUAUUCUUUCAUCUUAUUUUUAAUAUAAAACUUAAUUUCUUCUAUAGAGAUUCAUUAUGUAUUAAUUUAUAUUAUUUUUACUUUUCCGUUUCUAUUAUUACUUAUUUUCUUCUAUAGUCACAUUCAUUAUGUAUUAAUUUGAUUGUAAAAUUUUAUUUGAACAUUUAAAAUUUAUUGCAAAAUUGUAACUAUUUCAUUUUUUUAUAUUAAUUAUUUUAACCAUUUACAUUUACCAAUAUUAUGAACAAACAAUUUAUAAAUAUAGAUAAAAGAUAAUUUUUAGGAAUUCAUGUAUGUCUCAUACUUUUAACCAUUGCAAAUAUAAAUAUUGCAACUAAUAUUAUAUUAUUUUUCAGUGAUAUUAAUUAUUCCAAGUCCGCUUAAUAUAAGAGAAGUAUAGGAUCAAAACAAAUCUAAAUGGAUAGGAAAAAUGUGAAAAAUCAAAUCUGGAAUUAAAUGAAAGUGUUGUUUUAUAGUAAUGGUAAGUGAAUGCAUAAGUGAUGUUUGAGGGGAAAUGAAUCAAAUAAUAAAAAUUUAAUUUAAACAUGAGUUUAGUCUGUGUAAUGAUAGUAUUUUUUCAGAUUUAAUUUCUGCAAAUUAAAUAAUUGUUGCUUUUAAUUCUUGGUGGCAGCUUAUUAAACCACAUUGCUUUAUUUUAUUGGGUCAUGUAUACCGUCCCCCGACUAAAAGCAAUAGAUUUUGAAUUUAUUAACGCUAAAUUCAAACAAAAACUUUAUAGAGAUUAAAAUAAAAUAAAAAACUAUAAUUAUAAGAAUUAAAAUUUUAUUCAAAUUUAUAAAAUUUAAUAUGCGUUAAAAUAAAUUAAUAUCCCAUUUCAAGUUUUUUCUUUUAAAAAAUUUACAAUGAAAAAAUAUUAUAAAUAUAUGAAUCUAUAUACUUCAGUGUCAUGUAAUCUAAAAUACAAGACACACAUUAUAAAUAUUUAAUAAAUAGAUGAUCUUAUCUAAAAGUAUAUAUUUUUCUUCACCAUUAUUUUUUUAUGAAAAAUAAAAAUUAAAUUAGGGAGGCGGGGGAUUUGAAUAUAAAUCAAUAAUAUUUUUCUAAUACAUACUGUAUUUUUGUUUAAGAUAUAAUUUUUUUUUUAACCAUAUUAAAAGUAUCCACUAUCAUUUAUCAAUGAUUAAUCUAUUAAUCUAUGUCAGAGAUCAUGAUGGGCACAAAACACAAAUUAUCUUCUACCAACUAGAUUUUCCACAUACACAAGACUUGGAGAUCCAACCCCUAACUAUUUUUUAAAAGAUCUCGAACCCCUUAUCACUAGGUUUAACCCUUUAUCAUUUUCUUUUUCAGUUAAAAAAAAUCUCACAUCUAAUUAUGUUAAGAAAAACAAUGAAUCAAUGUCUCCUCUUUUUAAUUCGUUAUAUAUCAAAGUAUCUACUCCACUUAUGGAUACUUCUAUUCAACAACAAAUAACAAUUUACAACUCUUUCUAGCUACUAAAUAAUAACUAAUGUAGUAAUAAAUUUAUAAAUAAAAAACAAUAAUUUGUUAUUGAUUUCAUAAUAGACUUCUAUAAAUUAUCAUGUGAAAAUUAUUUAUUACCUUGCUUUGCAAUUUAAAAUAAAAAAUAUUUAUCUUUAUAGUAAAUCAAUUUUCAAUAUCAAUUAAAAACUAAUCAAAGUAGGAAAAGUAGGAAAAGUAGGAAAUGUGUAAUCGGUACUUAUCAAGUAAUUUGGUGUUUGUAAUGAUCACUAAGUUGCCCUUACACAAGCUACAAACUAAUUCUAUUCUCUCUUUGGAUAAGAUUAUCCCCCUCUCUUGAAUAUAAAAUUACAAAUACUAUGGAAUAUAGUCAUAUAGAUUAAAAUAUGUACAUACAACUUAACACACCAUACACAUAUCAUUAAAUUAAAAUGUAAUGUCAAUGACUAUGUUAUUAUAAGAUUACAAAAAUGUUGCAUAAACCAAAUUUAUUCAAAAAAUAAUUUUAAAAAUAUUUCCAAGGUAAAAUUUAUGCUGAUAGUAACAUAACAUGUGCUUGAUAUUAUAUAAUAUUACACACAAAUCAAACAUUUUUAAAUAAUUUAAAUAAUUAAAUAAAUUUAUUUAGACAAUAAUAUAUCUCGCGUCUUAAAUAAUUUAUCUAAUUGUGGUUCAUAUAAAAAUAAUUAACUAUAAAUUUUUGGAAGUAUCUUAUAAAAAGAACUAUAUAAAUUAUUGCAUUUCAUCAGAGACGUUAAGAACAAAAACUAAUUUUUUUGAAUAUUGUAGGGAUGAAAUUCAAAAAAAAUAUUUUUGAUAGACUAAAACUGAAAACUGUUAUAUUUACGAGGACAAAAAAUCUUUGUUAAUUAACGUUUUUGUAACGUCCUUUAGUCCCUUAAUGUUAAAGACCAAAAAUAUUUUUUUUUUUAAUAUUACAAGAAUGUAAACAAAAAAACAAUUACGAGAACCAAAAUAAAAAAAAUGUUAUAUUUACAGGAACCAAAUACAUAUUUAAACAAUUACUUUUUUAUGGGUAUUAAAAAUUAUAGUUAAGUGCAAUUAAUUAUUUGGGUUUCAUGGUGAAUACAAGUUAAAUUUACUAAAUUAUCAUUUUUAAAUGUUAAAUAUUUAACUAUUGACAUUAAAUAUUAUGAAUUAAUAAAUUUUCUAUGCUUAUAAUAGUAGCAAGAGGGAGUAUGUUAAUUUGUUUUUUUUUUCAGCCAUUUUUUCAAUUUCGAAAUAAAUCAAAUAAAAAUGAUAACAAUUUUUAAAAUGUAUUAUUAACUUUAUAAUUUUUUGAAAUAUUGAAAUAAAUCUACAAAACAAAUGUUUUCAAUUCUCUAAACAUAUAAAAAAAGAAAAUUAAAUGCAAUAAUAGAUAUUAAAUAAAAUAAUCAGUGCAAUUCUCUAAACACAAAAUGAAAUUCUCUAAGGAUAUAAAUAUAAAAAUUAAAUGAAAUAAUAGGUAUUAAAUAAAAUAUAUUUUAGCAAUAUAGAUGUUCGUAUACUUCAUUCAAACAAUUUCUACAGAAUGCAUUCACUAAUGAUCAUUACAAAUCUUAACAUAAACAUGGAAAUUAUAUACAAUAAUGGACGUUAAAUACAAAAAUUUGCCUGAAAUAAAAUGCAUUUUACAAAUUUUAAAUUUAGGAACUUAAAAACAAUCAUAAAAAUGUAUUUUCAAAUAGUCUUAACAAUCACAAAUAAUCUUAAAAACAAUCAUGAGAAUUUGCCUCUAUUUUAUUUUGUAUUAUUCUACUCCGUUCCGUUUCAUUUAUUUUAAAAUACACAAAUAGUCUUAAGUUUAUGUGAUGUCUCUUACAAGACCAUUAAAACACUAUUGGCAUGAAGGUUGUGUAGAUUUUGUGAAAAACAUUUUGGUAGAUAUUGACAUACCUACCAUUUUUGUGUCCCUUAUUUGACACUGCAUCUAUAGUCCUAAAAUGAAAGUUCUUGAAGAUUUCUCAUCCUCUAGAGGUAUUUGCCAUAGUAAUCUUAUUUUUCCUGAGUUAUGUUAUGUGUUUCUUAGAAAUUCAAAAAAAAGAAAAGUAUUUAAUAGAAGAAAAAAAAAUUAAAAAUUAAUUGAAAAUAAUCGUAUAGUUUCUAUAACAAUUAUUUUACGUAGAUACUUAAAAAAUAAUAAUUUUCUUUAUGAUAAAGAAACAUAAAAUAACUUCUGUUUUUCUGUAGAGGUUUUAAAAAAUAACCUCUAAAUUAUUUAAUAUCAAUUUUUUUAUAAAAUUUGUAAUAAAGGAGCCUAAAAAGGAUGGAGGAAACACUUUAAGUAAAUCCAUAGGCAAUUAUAUUAUAAUUAACCUAUAGAAUCCUGACUUAGUUUAUCUUUAUAUUUAGCCUAUAAUCUAAGUGUUACAAUCAAUUUCUAAAGUUUCAUUAAUCUGAAGUUGGUAUACUUCAGCUGAAACUUGUUAGAACAAAUUCACAAACAUUGAAAUAUUGCACUUUUGAGAUUAAUCAAUGUAUUUUAGCAUCAUCAUAGGUGUGGUUUUCAAUUUGGUAUCUCAUUAUGAUAAAUUAAGAUCCAGAGGAUGAUUCUUACAUUUACUGAGUCCACCAUAGUAGACUUAAAUAGACACCAUAUAGUUCUAAACUAUUCCAACAUUGUAUAGCUAAUAGUUUAGUUGAUGAUUUCUUGAAAACUUAUAAAAUUCAAGCAAAUAGCAUAAAACACACUAUAAUACAGAUUAUUGAGUCACAUAAUCCCAUGCCUUUUGCAUAUCCUCAAGAUCUUAAAAAAGUACAAACCAUGGUAUAUUAUUUGGCUUGCUUGAAACCUUCAUUGACCACAGUGGAAUCCAUAACUUUACUUUGAAUUCUCUCAUAUUCCAACCUGUCAACAAUGGUACAUUUUUUGGCCAAUUUCAAGCAUACAACUCCUGCAAAUAUCAUUAUAGCAGAAAGUAUCCAACUGAACUGUAAAUUGGCUAACCCUUUAGCCCGAAAAUCUGCCUCUUUCGAUCCACAAGUGACUGCUCCGUGAAUUUCACUACCACUCUCCCUACCCAAAUUCAUCACACAUCCUUCAGGAACAAAUGCAGGAAUCCACAACAUAAACCCCAUGUUUAUAAACCAACAUCCUUGGAAGAUAAUCGAAACGGAAAGCACGAUGGCUGCGUUGAAACUGUUGGGAAAAAUGGUUGCAGCCAGAGCUGAUGCAAGUGAGACAAAAACUAUGAGCUGUAGCAGCCAGUGGUAAUGGCCUUCAAGUCCAACAUGGUCAGUGGAAUGAAAAUGGAGUAAGAAAAGCUCUUGACUGAAAACUGAGGAUGCAAGUAUACCAACAAAUCCAGAGAAGAGUUCAAGUGAAUCAGUCAACUCAGUAGAGAGUGAAAAACCAGCAAACAAAGCAAGGUGUAUGAACAUAGUUGCAUGCUCAAAGUUAUCAAGCUUAAAAGCAUAGUGGAAAUAAGGGAAAUCUAGAAUUUGUAUAAGAAUUGCUAGGAUGGAAAAUGAUAAAAUUGAAACAAGUUCCAAGUGUUUGAGUUUGAAUUGAGAUGUAUUAAGUUGGUACCAGAAUCUUACAGUGAAAUUGGAAGGACCCUUCACAAUGUAAGAUUUUAUAGUGUUGAUGAUGUGCCAUAGGCCAAGAAAUGUGAGAGCAAAACCCUGCACUAAGUGUGCUAGAAACAACCCCAUGACAAUUUUGUAUAUUUUUUCAGAAUACAACACUUGUUAUUUAUCUUGAUUUUUUCACUUAAAUAUAUGAAGUCAUUAGGAACAUGAUGCUUGUACGGAAUAAAUUGCUUCAUAUGCAUCAAUUUUAUCUUUUAUUUUUUUGUUGGAUAAAAGGUGCUUUAUAUUUAUAUGAUGUGAUUAGUCCACGCAUUUUACUAAGUAGUGCAUGGUGCAUGUGUUUCCACAAACAGAAAAAAUAACCUAUGUUUUGUGCAACAUCAUGAUAUAAGAUGAAAAUGGGAACACCACUUCAUCAGUAAUUUAAGUAACCAACAUGGUGUGGCAUAGGCGGUAGAUGUUUGGAUCCUUUAACUAUUUAGUUGAGGUCUCAUCUCCAACCGAUGCAUAUGAAAAAAUAUAUGAUGAAAGAUGUCAACCCUUUAAAUAGAUCUCAGUUAUAAUAAGUGAUUAAUCUCUAUAGUUACGCGUAAGAAUACUUUGGUUUAACAUGAAGUAAGCCUCAAGUAAAGUUUAAUGGUCCUCUUAUUUUGUUCAAAAUCCUAUGCUCUAAUUGGAAAUCCGCAUCAUAAAUUGGAGGAUAAGAGAUAUCUCCUCUUUAAAAAGCACUAGAGAUGUAACAGCAAUCAACAUAUUACAUCAUACAACCUUCCUUUCUUGGUGAAGAUCAAAAUCCCCAUGACUAUAGUGGUUGGCUUUUUGCAUAAAACCAUUCACAUAGAUUUUGUCCCUUGGAUGGCGUGGAGAGUGAAAUUUCUCCAAUAAAUUCAUGUGGCUAGCAGGAAGUUCCCACUCAUUAAAAUAAGUUGAUUUUCCAUUACAUCAAAAUUCAUGUAAAAAAGUAUGUGAUAGAGAAAGACAAUAUUUUCUGUCUAUUAUCUAUUAUUUUACUAUUGUCUCCUCUAAAAUGGAUAAAUUAAAUAGUAGAUAUUCAUCGCAUCCAUAUUACUCCCUUUAUACUCGAAAAUGACUUAUUCACUUAAGAAUGUAAAGUUUAUAUAUAAAUCAUUGUUGUUUUUAAGCCUGUCAAUUGGUGAUAAUUUUCCAGAAAAAAAAAAUUGCAAAACAGAAGAUGAAUAUGUUUGAGAUAACAUUUGGCAGAGUGAUGGCCAACCAUCCUUCUUUAAAUUCUAAUAAUGUAAUUUUUAACUUUAGUCUUUAGGUUCUUGACCAAGAAAAAGUAAUAUUUAAAGUAGAAGGAGUUGAGAGUUAGAACACUAUUUCAUAAUAAGACAGAAAAGAAAAACUACCUUGGCCAAUGAAGGGCAGAAAAGUGGCUUAAAAACAAGGGUAGAUGAAGCAUGGACAAUUACUUCCACUUCCAGCUAUAUGGAUUGGAUAUUCAAGAUCAUCCUUCUAAAGUUUAGCUUUUAUAUACUGCAUUUGUCAAAUACAGACAAAAGUUCAGUAUCCUCCCCUUAAGUGGAGAAUUUGGCUGCAUUAUUUUUUACAUAUUAAAAUAAUAAACAAAUUUUACGGUCACUGUCCUGUUUGUCAAAUAUUAUUUCUCAAGAAUCAAUACUAUACUAAUUGUGACAUUGUUUAUCACAAAAAAGUGUCUUGUAAUUCAUGGUCUAACUAUUUAGAAAUUUAAAACUAAAGAGUUUUUUAUAAUCAGCCGCAAGAUACUUGUCAAUGGUUUGUGAGUUCUAUCAUAGUUCUAUUAUUGUAAUUUACUCAAUAAAAGAACAAGGCAUCAUCAGAUAACAAAAUAGCUUUUUUCACAAAAUGAAACUUGUAAUAAAUACUAAUGUAAUUACUGAAUUUUACUUGUACAUACAAAAUGCAGUGGAAGUUUUUAGAAUCGGAAAACGUAAAUGUAAGGUAGUUUUUUCUAAUAUGGUAAUGGUAUGAAUUAGUUCAUAGAACUUUGGGUUUCUACUACCUAGAACUGAGACUAUUACAAAAUAAAGUCAGGAUUGAUACUCCUUGGCUUAUUAUGUAAACACCGAAGAAAACAGUUAAACUGAAAAUAUGCUUUGGACCAACAUUAAAAUGAUAAGCAGAUUUUUUCCACAUAAACUAUGAGCAUGUCAUAGAGGGGGUAUUUUGAUAGUGCAACUUUAUUCAAAUCCUAAAGUUCAUGUAAUAGCUAGCAGAAGACUCAUUUCACACAAGAAGAAAAUGACUUUAUAUAUUACUCCCUAUGUAAUAAUCCAACUAAUAAAAAUAAUUAUAUCAAUUUAGAAUUUAGUAAGUGAAAUUAUUAAACUAGAAAUGUUAAAAAUUGUUUAAAAAUUAAUUAAAGAAGGAAGGGACAAUAAGAUAAUAUUAGAAUAAAUUCAAAUGACAAGGAAGGAAAUUUCCUCCAUAUUCCCUCCUUAAUGUCAUUUCCGGAAAAGCCAUCCAUUUUUCUGGCCUUUCUUCUUCUUCCCAUGUGCAACCCCAAAACCUUUCUCCAUUGUUACUGUUCAUUUCAACUUCAAACCUUCCAUUUCCCUUUCUUCAAAUCUUUUAGAGCCAAAAGGUUCCUAAGACACUUGAAAAUUGUUUUCCCCUCUUGCAUGUCCAAAUUCGUCCCUCCAUUUUUUAAAUCCGACCAGCUCGGUUAGGCAAGGAAGAACCCGACUCAGCCAAGAGAAAACGAACUGAACCGAGGAGCUUAAAGUCAGGAGGAGUUCAGAAAACGACUUUGAAACACUACUCCUUAUUCUACAAUUGUGAAUUCUUUACAUUAAGUUUUUUUUGUAUCAUGAGAGAUUAGGAGAUAAAACCAUUUUUCGGUUUUCGAAGGGAAUUUUCACAAAUUGCAUUUAAAUAAUGUUUGAUGGCAUGCUUGUUGUAAACCAUGAUUGUAUGUUGUUUUAAAAUCAAUUUAUAUGUUAAGAGUGUUUAAUUAGAUGCGCAAACUUUGUUUCAAAGUUAGUAUGCUUGUCGAGCACAGAUUCUGCUCGUUAUUGCUCUUGCCUCUUAUACGUAUGCAAAAAUGUGAGUUUUGCUUCUGGUAAAAUGUCCUCAUCAUUUUGCCUCUAAUGGUUGCACAUAAAUUCUAAGUGUUGUAGCCUUUAAAAAACUAUUCUUUAGUUUUCCUCUGAUACAGUUUUUGCCUAUGAUUCCAGUUUUGAAUCAGGGACUUAGAAUUUAUUUCAAAUGAGUUAAAUUGUGUUUUUUUAAGCUGUGGUGAACAAAAUGUAUGCAUGACAACAUCUCAUAAUACAUCCAUCUUAUUCAUAUAAAUUAAUGACAUUCAUGACCAAAGUCAUGGUGGAACAUUUGAUGGGGUUGUUUUGGUGACCCACAUUAAAACAAUUGGACAAUUUUUCCAUACUCUAAGGAAAAGUUUCAACAGUGUAUUUCAAAGAUUUCUCAAUCAUAAUCAGGUGUCAAUAGACACAGUUUUAUGAAAGUGUUUUAUUUCAUAAAAGACAUUAUUUCAUUUUUUUUUUUUGCGAAGCCUCCUUGAGAGGUAUAUUUUUAUUGUCCUUCCCCUUAUCUUUGAACUCACUCAGAUCAUGUAUUAAGUUUAUGCAUAAGUUAAAUUCAAAAAUUUGGUUGAUCCAUUGUACCUUAUGAAUCAGUUUCAAGCAGUUGUAAACUAUAAUUCUAUACGUAGUUUAUGGAUCAUAAUUCCAAAUUCUAGAUGCUUGGUAUUAGGUCUCACACCCUCCCAUCCAUAUUAUAAGAUCCUCUAACAAAAUUUAUGCAUAUUAAGAAAAGUAGUUCUAGUAAUAAAAUUGUCCAAAAAGUGCAACAUUUUUACAUAUUUACCCCUACAAUUAUUAAUAUUAUAAGAGAGAAAAAUUUCCAUUUUCCAGUCAUUUUUGUAAAUAAGUCAUUAAUGCAGAUUGAAUUUCCAAAAUAGUCUUAUAUUCAGAGAAAUAAAGAAAAAGUGAAAUAGAAUCUAAUAAUUAGAGACGGAGCUCCAGUACUUGGAUUAGAAGCAAAGCCAUAAGAGUAUGUAUUGUCUGUCUGAAUAGUCUGAUGAAAGAAACAAUUUAACAAAAAAACAAUGCAGGUAAAAAAGAAAUUAUCUAACUAACAAUGAACAAUGGCAUUCUUACUGUACUAUAAACUCUCCUAUUACUAAUUUCUCCUUUGUUCCUUCAGAAUACCAAUAAUUCAAUUCCUAUCUGCAAAACAAGAUGUUGACUGCUACCAUAUAUUCAAGUCUUGAAAAAAAUCUAUUGCUCUCUCCAUUUCAGGACAUCUGCGAGACAAUGUAUUAUUUCAUUAUGGAAAAAGAAUGAACGUAAAAUACUCAUCAAUAAUGUAUAAUGUGUAAACAAAACUCAUAUCACACAAGCAAUAAUGGCCAAUCUGAUUACAACUACAGUAAGUAUUCUUCAACUUUCAACCCCUCGAAAUCUAACAAUGAUUAUAGAAUACAACAUAUUUAGCCCAUAGUCCCAGAGCCAAAAAUGCAGCAACUGGCCUCUCCUCCACAGUCAAUAGAAAGAAAUUACCAGGGGAAGGUAAAAAAUGUUUUAAGCAGUAAACCCAAAAAGAAGAGGGAGAAACUAAAUUUGUUUAUUGAUAUCUAAGUCCUGUGCCGAUACACAACUAUAUGAUUUACAUGAGCAUGGGAGGAAGCUAUUGAUAAGAAAUCCCAAUUUAGGAAACCGAUAAGAAAAAUUAAGCACAAAAAACCUACCUACAGUCAAAAAGAUCAAAGUAAAUUGUGUUCACAUGAAGUGGUCCAAACCAACAUGUGAUCAUGGGCCAUAGAGAGGAUUGACCUAAUUUGAGAGGUUACAAAUUGCAUUAACUCUCAGGUUUCUGAAACCUAUAUUAAUAUCCUCUUCAGUUUCAUGUUUGGAAUUGAUAUUUCAGCANNNNNNNNNNNNNNNUCAGCAGGACGAAGAGUCGUGAAAGGAAAUCAAAAUAGGAGAAAACAGUGAAAUUUAGGAUAAAUAACUCCCAAGGCUUCUUUAUCUUUAUUUUAUUUUUAUAGCUAGGUUUCUUUAUCUUUACCAGUAGCCAAUAGAGCAUAAUAUAGAAUGAGUCGCCGAGUGUAUCAACAAGAAUCACAAAUAUCAAACCCAAUUGAAAAUCAAACAAAAAAAUCACAAAUAUCAAACCUAAUUGAAAAUCAAAGUAUACAAAAAUUGAAAUCGAUAAAUACUACUUAAGUAAAAAUGAUUGAACACGUUCUUAAGAAAUUGUGAAAGACCUGAAAUUCAAGCAACAGUAACGGUUUGUUGUUUGGAGGGUUGAAGAGGCUUAUUUGUUCGAUUUUGAUUGGAAUCGCCGAGGAAAUCUUCCAUGUUAUAGAUGACGGUGAUGUAGAGGGAGCAACUAGGGCAACGAGCGAUUUCCUCACCCAGCUUGAGAUCUUCCUUCGUGAUCUGGAAAAGGUCGCCGCAUGGACAUGGAUAUGUGUAUGACUGCAACUCCUCGUUCCAUUCCAUGUCUUCAAUCUCUACGUCGUCGUAAGACAUCGUUUCGCUGUGCUAUUUUUUUCUCUCUGGAAUUUAGGGUUUCUACGAGAACAAUAAGCAAAGAUGAUUCGGGUUAAGAAGAAUCAGCGCCUGAGUAAAAAAAAAGAAGAAAACAAGCGAAUUUUAGACUGAUAAUGUAUUUUUUCUCUAUAAUCUAUUUUUCAUCUAAUUGUGUAUAUUCCUCUCCAAAUGAAUAGAAUUCCACUAUUUUAUUAUUAUUAUUAUUAUUAUUAUUAUUAUUAUUAUUAUUAUUAUUAUUAUUAUUAUUAUUAUUAUUAUUAUUAUUGUUGUUGUUGUUGUUGUUUUUGUUGUUAGUUUUUAUAUUUUGUCUAUUUCUCCAAAAUUAUAAAUUUGAGUAAAGGUAGGAGUCUCUAAGAAAUUUUGAGAGAUUCAAUUUUAUCUUUAGAAAAAAUAAAAGUUUUUUAAUCUUUAAAAUAAAUUUCAACAAAAUCAUUAAUUUGUUCUAAUUUAUUUUUUAAAAGGACUAAAAAGUAUUUUUAUUUUUCUCAAAUAUUAAAUUGGAUCUCUCAAAAUUUCUCAAGUACCAAAAUAAGUCUUUACUUUAAAAAUUUAUAUCUUGUAUGUUGUUGUUUAUUUUAUAAAAAAAAUUAUUUAAAAGAUAAUCAUUUUUUAAAAUUAUUUAUCUAUUUGCAACAAUUUUUAAACAAAUAUGAUAAUCUAAAAAUAAUUUAUUUUAUAUUUUUUAAAUAUUAUUUUUUAAUUUUUAGAAAAAUUAUCUUUACUAUAAUUUAUUUAGUAUAGAAUAAUUAAGAAGGUUACUUUAAAAAUUUUCCAUAGAUAAACUUUACCAUAAGAAAUUAUAACACCACAUAAAAAAUUCAUUAAAAUACGCAUAUAACACAUUGAAUUUCCAUACUCAAGCCCUCACAUUUUAAUAUUUUUAAAACUAAUUUUGAUAAAAUUUUAUAUAAAUUAAAUAAAAUAUUUUGUUUUUAUUACAAAUUAUUUAAUACUUAUCUCAGUACAACUAAAUUGGUUAAUUAAAACAGUAGAGAUGAGAGAAAUAUUAAUUAUAAAUUGAAUAAUCAUGAGAUAAAAGUGAUGUAGCUAAAUAUCACUAUAAGGGGGGUUGAAUAGGGAUUUUGCAGUUAAAAAUAGUUUUCAAGUGUUUCAAAAAUUAUCCUCUCGCUGAAGAUGGCAAGCCCGAGGAUGGGUUUUCAAAACUUUUAAAUUCAAAACGAGUUAAAGAGUUAAGAAGCAAUAUAAGAUUGACACACACUGUUUUUAUACUGGUUCACCCAAAGAUGGCUACGUCCAGUCCUCACUCCCUUGUGAGAUUUCACUAUUGUUCAAACAGAUCAACCUCUGACCGAGGAUGAUUACAACUUGUGUAUUCUCAAGCUUCACAAAGCUUACAAUCAGAUUUCAAAUAUUUCCAAGUGUACCUCACAUGGAAAUUACAGUGUGAUAAGAGAGUGAUUGAUUCUAAAUACUUUCUCAAAAGAUUAACAAAGAUCUAAUGUAGGAUUUGUAUAAAGUAUGAAGAUAUAAUGUGUUGCUUCUUGAAAGCUUUAAGAUCUAUGAUCUUUUUUAAUACAAUGUGUUGUGUUGUUGAUGAAGAUCAACUUGCUGCAAUUUAUAGAGGUCUUGUGAUGUUCAUUUCAUAAGCCAAGCCUUUUAUGACCGUUGAAAAAUUCAUUUGAGAAAUGUCAAGGCUUUUCUUCAUAUUUACGAAAAUGUCAUUCAACUCAUUUGAAAAUAUGCAUUCCAUGUUUAAGUACGAGGUACUGUUUUCUUGGCACUUGGGGACAUGUGUUGUCCUUUUCUCUUUCCUUUCUUUAAUGUUUGAAUAUUGUGUGGAGUCCUUUUCAUUCUCUUUCUUCAAUGCCUUCAUAAAGCUUCACAUGUGAGCUUUUUCUUUUUUCUCCAUUUAAUGCCUUGUAAGAACAUGUGAUGUCCUUUUCAUUCCUUUCUUCAAGGCUUUGUGAAGGCUUCACGUGAAGACUUUCUUUCUUCUUUCCUUGCCUUAAGACAUGUGAUCAAGUUAUUUAAGACUUGUUUGUUGUUGCCUUUUUGAAGAUUGACUUUAUAAUCUUAUUUAAUCACAUAAUGGUACAUAUAGCCUUUUUGCCUAUGACAUGAUGAGUUGCUUUCAUAAAGUCUUGGAAAGCUUUUCAAGAUAUUGACUAUAGGCACAUGCUAGUAUCAUCAUUCCUCGUACCUUUCUCUUGUAUUUUUGCUACUUUUCUUCAAAGGCCUUUCUUUAAACAUUUUUAAUAGUAUUUUGCCUUUAUUGAAUGAAUCAAACAAUUCAUUCUUUAAUACUAUUCUGCCCUUGUUGAAUGAAUUCAAAUAAUUCAUUCUUUAAUAUUAUUAUGCCUUUGUUUGAUGAAUUCAAAUCUGCGAGGAUGCAGAACUGCAGUUCACCAGCUCGUGAGGCCAUCCUCGGCACUUUCAUACUUAGCAUUUAACUCAGAAUUUUCUUCUUUUUCCUUAAUGAAUGAUAAUCUGUUUACUUAUAUAAAUACACUCAAAAGCACAGAUUAGUCAUUAACAUAAUCAUAAUCUUUUAAUUAAUUUUGUUAUCAUUAAAACCAAUUGAGAGAUUUUGUCUCAACAAAAAGGUUAGUACAUCAUUAAUAUGAGAAAUAUUAGUUAUAAAUGGAGAGAUCAUGAGAUAAAUAGUGAACAUAUUGUUAACAUGAGUUACUAGAGUGCUACAAUAUAUACAGAUUCUUUUCUUAUUCAACUAAAAUAUGGAAAAAUUUACAUGAGUGCCUGAUGUUGCCGUAUAACCGUUGAAAUAUCUUAUUUCAUUAUUUGAAAAAUAUAGAGAAAAUAGAUUUGAAAAUGUCAUUAAUUUUGUUAAACAAAGUUUAUAUAAUUAUUAAAUAAAAUAUUAAUAAUUUAUUUAUUAAAUUUUGAAAAUGCCUUAUCUAAUAAUUUCGCUUUAGGCAUCAUAACGUGUUGGGCCGGACCUAAUUGAAAGAUAAAUAGUUCAUUAAAAGUGAUAUAGAUCAACAUUCUAUUAAGAUACAAUUAUAAGCAAAUAAGUUUUUUAAGUAUUGAUAAUGUUUAUAAGCAAAAGGGUGAAAUAAGAUUUUAGUCAUUGAAAAAAUUUAAAAUUUUAUUUUUAGUCUUCAUAAAAAAUAAAUCACGGCUUUUUAUUUUUAAUCUCUAUUUUAAAAAAAUUAUAAAAUAAAUCAUCAUAAAUUACAAAAAAUUUAGUUUAAAUCUGAAACAUGAUAUACAAUCAAUUAAUAUCAAAAAAUUUCAAUUGAAAUAUAUCUUAUAAAUAAAUUAAAAUCAUAUUUAAUUUUAAACAAAAUUUACAAAUACAUUGAUAUUCAGGUAAAAACAUUUGUCGUCUAUUUUCUUACUAUAUGGUCCACACUUGAUAUAGACCUUAUAAUAAAAGUCAUAGUAUUGUAAUAGUAUGUUUUAUUGAUAACUACCUCGUAUAAAUUUUGGUGUCAAUUUGACAAAUCUAUUAAUUAUUGAUCGUAUUUUACAUGUUGAGAUAAAACUUUGAAAACUAAAAAAUUCUAAAUUUUGUGGGUUUAGUGGGAUCUAUAGACCUACUUUUUAAUUUUUUUUAUAUAUAUUUUGAUUUUUUUCUCAAUAAAACAUUAUUUAUUAUUUGUCGUCUAUUUUGAUUUUUUUUCUCAAUAAAAUAUUAUUUAUAUUUUUUUGAAAAAAAUAAAUUUCUAAAAAUUUUCAAUAAGAAAAUAUCAAUUAACAAAAUAUUGAGCAUAUGAACCCCCCACUUAAACCCAUAAAAAAUAAUAAAAUAAUUGGUUGAGGCUUUAAAAAAUUUAUUUCAAUAGAAAGUCUAAUAGUAAGGGCUUAUUAGAUGAUUUUUUAAGGGGGUUGAUUUUUUAAGGGGGUUUUAGACUUUAGGACUUAUCUCUUGUAUCAAUCUCAUUCCUCCCGUUCAACAAUCAUCUCCUAUAUUAACCCUAAUCUCAUCUCUUGUAUUUUCCUUCCCCUUUUCUUUCACAUACAUCGAUCCACUUGACAUGACUAUGAUGCAAUUCUUGACCAUGACAAACACUAUGGGCAUAAAAAUAGGUGUGGACGUUGCAUUUGUUGAACUUGAGAAAUUCACCAAAAGAUAUUGGUUGUUCUACAAGAUAGGAAUGACAAUUGAGUUGAUUUUUGAGACAUUGGGUGUGUUUGUUUGAACUUAAAUAAAAAAGUUUUUGUUUUAAAUAAUUUAAAGAUUAUUUUUUUAGCAACUUUUAAAAAAUGAUUUUUUUUUAACUUCCGUUUGUUUACUAUUAUAAAAAUGAUUUUUAAUUUAUUUGUAUACAAGUUUGUAAAAAUGUGUUUUUUUAAACUACGAUGACCAUUUCGUAGACACAGUUUAAACUUUGAUCAAUGUAAUUGAGUACUCCUAAAACACCAAUAAAUGAACACAUACAACAACAAACAAAAAUACGAUAUAGAAAAAUAGAAAAAAAUAACAAAAUUUACUAGAUGAAAAUCUAGAUGAGGGUCACAUGGAAUGAGAAAACUAAGAGCAUCUCUAACGGUAAUCAAAUGAGUUCGUCCGUCAACGUGUAGGUACCUAAAAUUCCGUUUUGGUGAGUUCACUUGUUGGAGUUGUGUCAAUCUAUCAUCACGAUGCUAUCAAGAAUGAACGAUACUUUGACCAUUUAAUAAUAAUAAAUUUAUAACUGUUACAUUUUUUUAUUAAUUUAUUAAUAAUAAUAAAUUUAUGACGGUUAAUUGACCUAUUUAAUGAACUCAUGUUGAGUUCACUGGAGUAAAAAAUAAAUGAGUUCCUUUAAGAUGAUGACACAAUGGACCAUACUUAAUGAACCAUGUUGAAUUCAUUGUUGGAGAUGCUCUAACAAAGAGAAAAAAAUGGCCACUGCGUGAAGAAAAAAACACAACUAAUAAAUUGACGUAAACCGAUAGAUAAAAACUUAUUAAAAAUUAACAAAGGGCAAUUUGGGAUUUUCAAUAUAAGAUGAGAGUAAUGUCAUCAUUUUCUAUCGUUAAUGAGUUAAGUUUCGUGUUUUUUAAUUGUGUUUCCAUUUUUUCUAUCAUCUAUCGCAAGAGGCAAAUGCGACAAACUAUUAUUUUUAGCUUUUUAUUUUUAGCCAAAUUUGUUUUUUAACAAAAUCAUUUUUUUAAAAUUUAAAACAAAACUUCAAAAUGAUUUUUGCCUUCAAAAAAUCUAAAACAAACGUAUCUAAUAUAUUUCAAUUGUAAUUAAUUUUAAUGAUAACAAACUUUUUAGAUUAUAUAUAAGUGAUUCUAAUUAACUGUUAUUACUAACAAGUUUUGCGUAUGUAGAUUUCAUUAUAGAACGAAACAAAGUCAACAUAAACUGAUAUUACGAAAAUAUCAAUUUCAAAUUUAAAGCAAAUAUUAAAAUGGCAUCAAGACAGAAAACACUUUGUGAAUGAAUGUUUGAAGGAAUAAAAUCAACAUGUUAGUUAUGUUGAUAAUACUUAGAUUUUCAAUAUCACAGUUAUAUUGUUUUUUUUUUUUAUGCCAAGACACGUUUCUGGUGUCACUCAAUUAAAAGCCAAUUGAGUAAUACUAUGAUUUUCCCUUUGUUUUCUUCUAUCAUUACUUUAUUUUAUAUCUUAACAACUAUUUCAUAGAAGAGAAAUAUACCAUUUCUGGUUAUGCAAAAAUGGGAUAAUAUUCAAUAAUGAAAAAGAAAAACAUGUAAAUGAUGCAAAACCUAUAUUAUUUAUGCACCAUAAAAUUAACCUUAAUUUAUACCCAAAAAAUAAAAAUAAACCUUAGAUUAAGGGAAUCAUAUAUGGUAUUUUUUUUCUAACAUCAAAUAUUUUAAAAAGAAUAUGAAACACUUAUUCUAAAAUUAUUAAUAUCUCUUAUCAACAUUUAACAUUUGUAAAAGAGUCGUUGAUAAAUAUCUCCAAUCUCAUGAAGUAGCAAUGUCGAUUUACAAGAAAUGGAGGUUUGAAUUGUAAAUGCACCCUUUUAAAAUUUAUUGUUGAAAACUUAAGAAAAUAACUCAAGAUUGAUAUUGGCUGUGAAAAAAGAAAUCGGAUAAUGUUCUUGGUUAGUUAAAAUUAGUAAUUCAAUUUAUGUAUUUAACUUGAUAAUCAAUCAGAUUGAAAGUAAAUAGAUAAGGGAAGAUAUAUCACACAAGGAUAUAUCCUGGUUCACUCAAUCCGAGUUACGUUCAGUCCUCACAACUGUGAGAUUUUCCACUAAGUGUUUAAAACCAAAAAUCUUCUUGGUUUUAUAGUAUCUAACUCAUAUCAAUCUUGAUCUGUUACAAAGUUAAAACAUUUCCAUCCAUAAAGGAGUUCAAUCAAGUCACCUAUCAACCUUGACAUGAUUGCUUACAAUCUACCAAGACUAUAUUAAACUUUUAUAGUUCGAGUUUUACAAUAAUGAUGAGAUUGUUUUGUUAGAAUUUGAGAAGACUCAACACUUGUUUGAGUUAUGAUUAUUUAAUAGAGAAAUACGUGAGAAUGAUUAUAGGAAUCAAAUGGAAAAAAUCAAAAUUGAUUCGAUGUAUGUGAGUGAGAGAAAUUCAAGUAUGAUUGAAAUGAGUAAUGAAUUGUUUAGUACUUGAAGCUCUGAUUUUUUCUUGAGCUUGACAUUCCUUUUAUAGGAUUUAAGAUGUUUAAUGACAUUAAAAAAUAGUUGUUGGAAGUGCUCUGCUGUCAUGUGUCAAAUUUGACCAAAAACCAAAUUAUAUGAUUAAAAAUAUUCAAGUAUUUGGACACUUUUGAGUUCUCUUUGACUGGUCUGGAUUUCUUCAUUCUUUACUGAGACGAUCGUCUGUUUAUGCACAUAAACAUCUUAGAGAUGUGCUUAAUCGAUUCAGUUUAAGAAUGCCUUUUGAAUCGUGCAAAACAGACUGAAGAAUGAUGUAACAAAGCUGGAGAAUGAUGAUCAGUAAGCUGGAGAAUAUUCGUAUCAUUGUAGAGAAAGAUGUUUGCUGCUGAAGAUCAAAUGUAACAAGCUGAAAAAUGUUUAUCAAUCUAGAGACUGAUGUUACACUGUUGUCUAAAAUGAUCAGAAUGCUGUAAAAAAUGUUUAGAUUUGUCUGGUCUUGCUAAUUCGUGAUUUCUCUAUUUGUGAUUCGAGUAGUUUAUUUGAACCUAAUCAUCUUAGUUUGUUCCUUGCCAAGCGUUGAUGAUAUAUAUGUAAAAUCCAGAGGCUAAAACUUCGUUUAACUAGUGGAUAUUGAUUGAUUUUGGAGCUCUGGUGAUCAUUAUUGAAACUGGAGAACAUUAUCCGUUUUCCAGAUUUUGUUAAGAAUGUUCGACAUUUUUGUUUGUUCAGUUACUUGCAAUUUUAUGUUGAUUUCUUUGCUUGAUUUAAAUCCUAUCUUUAAAUUAAUACACUCAAAAACGCAAAUUAAAUUAACAUAACAUUUAGAAUUAUAAUUAACAUUCUUAAUUAACUUUUUGUUUGUUUUUAUCAAAACAUUAAAUUGAGAUUUUGUCUCAACAUCUCAUACACUUGAAUUGCAAAAACAAAAUGAUACAUUAUAUCAUUUUUUUUAAUUUUAAUUAUUUGAUUUAAAAAAAAUAAAAUUAUAUCAAUUUAAAGUUGAAUCGGAAACUUAAUAAAUAAUUAUUUCAGCUAAAUAAUUUAAAUUCGAUUAAUUAUUAAGUUGAUUCCAAUGAUUUGAUAAUAGGUAUUAAACUAGUAAACAGAGAAAAGAAAAAGAAAAAAAAAAAAUGAAUAUAGGAAAAGAUGAAAGCCAAAAGAGUAACGAGUUAACAGAAAGUAGAAUAUUUGUAUUGGGGUUUACGGGCGGGGGUCUUCAACAUAUGCUCCUUCAAGAAGAGAAGCAAUGAAAGAACAGUGAAUGAAGUGACGACGAGAAGGAAAUGAGAGAUGCAAGGCCUUCAACAACAACAACAGCAACUAGCAGCCCUUCUCUCCGUCGCCGUCCCCAAUCACAAAGACCCUUCUUCCGAUGACGACCCCUCCCCUCGCCUCGCCGCAAUUAACUCCCUCCACCGCGCCAUCCUCCACCCUCACAAUUCCCUCCUCAUCACUCAUUCCGCCACUUUCCUCUCCCAUGGCUUCUCCCAACUCAUCUCCGACAAGUAACUCUCCUCUCAACCUAAUUUCCUCCUUAUUUAUUUAUUAUUUAUUUGUUUCAUUUUAAACUCUUCCAUUUUUGCAAACACAGAUCGUUCGAAGUCCGUCAAGCGGCUGUUACGGCACACGGUGCACUCUGCGCCGUAAUAUGUUCAACUGCCGUCUCUGCUAACGGUAGACAAAACCAUGUCAUACUUAACACUUUGGUUGAUCGUUUCAUCGGUUGGGCGUUACCUUUACUUAGCAACGUCACGGCCGUUGACGCCACCAAGGAACUCGCGCUUCAAGCUCUUCGCGAGUUUCUCAACGUCGGUGGAACCGAAAGGUACGCUUUACCUAUUCUCAAAGCAUGUCAGGUCCUUCUAGAAGACGAUAGAACUUCCCUAGCUUUACUUCACACGCUCCUCGGUGUCAUAACUUUGAUUUCGUUGAAGUUUCCGAGGUGUUUUCAGCCUCAUUUUCAUGACAUUGUUGAUCUUCUUCUUGGUUGGGCUUUGAUGCCUGACCUUGUUAAAUCGGAUAGGAGUGUUAUUAUGGAUAGUUUUUUGCAGUUUCAGAAGCAUUGGGUUGGUGGAUUGCCGAUGUCUUUGAGGUUGUUAACUAAGUUUUUGGGUGACAUGGAGGCUUUGCUUCAUGAAGGAACUCCUGGAACGCCACAGCAGUUUCGUCGGCUUUUAGCUUUGCUUUCUUGUUUUUCAACGAUUCUGCAGUCUACUGCUUCGGGUUUGUUGGAAAUGAACAUGCUUGAACAGAUAAUUGAACCUCUCGUCGGGUUGAUUCCUCGAUUGCUCAGGUGCUUGCCUGUCAUUGGGCAGAAAUUCGGAUGGUCUGAAUGGAUUGAAGAUUCUUGGAAGUGUUUGACUCUUUUAGCUGAGAUAUUGCGGGAACAGUUUUCGGGUUUUUAUCCUCUUGUAGUUGAUAUAUUGUUUAAGAGCUUGGAAUAUCAGAUGGGAUUCGGAAAGAUUACCUCUGUCCAAGUUCAUGGUGUUUUGAAAACUAAUCUCCAAUUAUUGUCUUUGCAAAAACAUGGUCUUCUCCCGUCAUCUGUGCGGAAGUUGUUGCAGUUUGAUGCACCGAUUUCUCAGCUGCGAUUGCAUCCAAAUCAUUUGGUGACAGGAAGUUCUGCUGCUACAUAUGUUUUCUUGCUUCAGCAUGGGAAUGCAGAAGUUGUCGAUGAAGCGGUCACCUCAUUGUUUGAAGAACUGGAGCUAUUGAAGAGUGUGAUAGGAAAAGAUACCCAGCAUUCAGAUCAGUUCAAUUUUGUUAUAGAUUCUAAAAUGUUUUCUAAACUUGAACUGUUUGCGGUGAUCAAGUUUGAUUUGAAAGUUCUAUUAGCAUGUGUUUCCAUUUGCGGGGAUAGCAGUUUGAUUGGUCAAAUAGAAAUAGCUACGCUGUAUCUUGGGAGGUUAGAAAAGUUGGUGUCCUUUAUCAUGGAAAAGAUGAAUCCUUUUGAGUUGCCUAUUCAGGCCUUCAUGGAAUUGCAGCUUGCUGCUGUCAAGACAUUGGAGAGGCUAAAUUCAUUUGAGUUCUUAAUUAAUUGUUCCCGAAGAGAACACAAUUCUGAUGAAGAUUCUACUGAGUUUCAAGCUAAAAAGGAGAAUGAUGACAAUCAAUUCAGUGACGGGUUUUCUGCUGUGAUUACUGAGAAUUUGGAAAACUACAGCGAGCUCCUUAGAAAAUCCCUUCACGUUUCUUCUCCCCUGGCAAUCAAAAUAGCAGCUCUAGAUUGGGGACAGAAGUUGUGUGAAAAUGUUAUGGCUGUUAGUAAGACCUCAAGCAGAAAAGGCUUAUCUUAUGAAGCAUGUGGAAAGGCUGGUGUUAUCAUGAACUUGGUUUUCUCACUUUUAGGUGGUGCAUUUGAGAGGGAACCAGAAGUAAGAUCAAAUGUUGCACUAACCUUGGAGAUGUUUAUACAAGCAAAGCUUUUGCAUCCUGUGUGCUUAUAUCCCUUAGCCGAAGUGAUACUGGAGAAACUUGGGGAUCCGUCAAUAGAGAUACAGGAUGCAUAUGUGAGACUACUUGCCCAUAUAUUGCCAACUACUGUAUAUACAUGUGGUCUCUAUGAUUAUGGGAGAUUCAGACCUGUUGAUCUUGGGUUUGGCAGCACUAUGAAGAUGCACUGGACACAAUUAUUUUCCCUGAAGCAGCUACCACUGCAGCUGCAAUCACAACACCUGGUGUCGAUCUUAAGUUACAUUUCACAAAGAUGGAAGGCACCUCUUUCUUCUUGGAUUCAGCGUCUCAUUCAUAGUUGCCAGAGAUCAAAGGAUGCUACUUUAAAUCAGCCUGAAGAAACAGAAAACUUUGGUGCUAAUUUUCCGUGGUUGGAUAUACAAGUGGAUGAAAGCAUACUUGAAAGAAUAUGUUCUAUCAAUGAUAUAGCUGGUGCCUGGUGGGCUGUACAGGAAGCAGCUCGGUACUGUAUCGCUACACGUCUACGGACUAACCUUGGUGGGCCUACCCAAACAUUUGCUGCUCUAGAGCGCAUGCUUUUGGACAUUGCACACCUUUUGCAACUUGAUAACGAGCAAAAUGAUGGGAACUUAAGCAUGAUAGGAUCUUCUGGUGCUCACUUGUUACCAAUGAGAUUGCUGUUGGAUUUUGUUGAGGCUCUAAAGAAAAAUGUAUACAAUGCAUAUGAGGGGUCUGUCAUUUUACCAUCUAGUACUCGUCAAAGUUCUGUAUUCUUUCGGGCAAACAAAAAAGUUUGUGAGGAUUGGUUUUCUCGUAUAUGUGAACCGAUGAUGAAUGCUGGAUUGGCUCUACAUUGCAAUGAUGCUGUUAUUCAAUACUGCACACUGCGUUUGCAGGACCUCAAUAAUCUUUCUGUGUCUGCUUUGAAGGAAAAGCCAAGGGCUCAGGUAACUGAUAACCUCAACAAUAUCAGAGGAAGAAAUAAAGGAGACAUCUUAAAAGUUAUAAGACACAUUUCACUAGCUCUUUGCAAGAGUUCUGAACCAGAUUCUUUGAUUGGUCUACAAAAAUGGGUUUCAGCUACGUUCUCCUCCUUACUUGGGGAGGAAAACCAGUCCUUCAAUGAGUGUGGAACUGUUGGACCCCUUUCAUGGAUAACUGGGCUUGUAUAUCAAGCAAGAGGCGAGUAUGAAAAUGCUGCAGCUCACUUUACUCACCUUCUACAAACUGAAGAGUCACUCAGUUCCCUUGGCUCUGAUGGUAUACAGUUUGUUAUAGAACGUGUAAUUGAGAGUUAUGCUGCUGUAUCUGAUUGGAAAUCUCUUGAAACCUGGCUAUUAGAACUUCAAUUGCUUCGUGCUAAGUACACUGGUAGAAGGUAUUCUGGUGCUCUGACAAUGGCAGGCAAUGAAGUUAAUGCAAUCCAUGCAUUGGCACGUUUCGACGAGGGUGAUUAUCAGGCUGCAUGGUCAUGCCUUGAUUUGACACCUAAAAGUAAUAGUGAGCUUACCCUUGAUCCAAAAUUAGCCUUGCAGCGGAGCGAGCAGAUGCUUCUUCAAUCAUUGCUCUUCCAGAAGGAGNNNNNNNNNNNNNNNNNNNNNNNNNNNNNNNNNNNNNNNNNNNNNNNNNNNNNNNNNNNNNNNNNNNNNNNNNNNNNNNNNNNNNNNNNNNNNNNNNNNNNNNNNNNNNNNNNNNNNNAAGGUGCUUCGUGAUUUGCAGAAAGCGAGGUCAAUGUUGGAGGAACCACUUUCUGUUUUGCCACUUGAUGGGUUAGCUGAAGCAACACCUCUUUCUAUUCAGUUGCACUGCAUCUUCCUUGUAGAAGAGGAUUACAAGCUUAAAUCAACUGAUGAAAAGGCCAAACAACUUCAUUCAUUGAUAAGUUCUCUUCAGCCAUUUCCAUCUUCUAUUAGUAAAAUCCGUCAAGAUUGUAAUCCAUGGCUGAAAGUUCUUCGGGUUUAUCAAACCAUUUCCCCAACUUCUCGGGUUACUCUAAAAUUCUGCAUGAAUUUGCAUAAUUUAGCCCGUAAACAAAGAAAUCUAUUGUUGGCAAAUCGUUUGAACAGCUAUAUCAAAGAUAAUAUAUCUGCUUGCCCAGAAGAGAGACAUCGCAAUCUUCUUGUCUUAAAUUUGCAGUAUGAGAGCAUUUUACUGCAGUAUGCUGAAAACAAAUUUGAAGAUGCUUUCACAAAUCUUUGGUCAUUUUUACGCCCUUUAAUGAUUUCUUCCACAUCUAGUAUAUUUGACGCGGAAGAGAAAAUUCUGAAGGCCAAAGCAUGCUUGAAGCUCGCAGAUUGGCUGAGGCGUGAUUCUUCAGAUUGGAAUCCAGAGACUACUGUUCUUAAGAUGAUAGCAGAUUUUGAUAUGGCUGAAUCAGCUUCAAUUGACAAAGACGGCAAUAAUAAAAAUAUAAAUUGUAAACGGAAUUUUGGUUCUAUUAUUGAGGAAAUUGUUGGUACAACAACAAAGUUGUCUUCUCGUAUUUGCCCCAUCAUGGGCAAGUCAUGGAUUUCUUAUGCUUCUUGGUGCUUUAAGCAAGCCGGAGGCUCACUCCCUGUUCGGAGUGAAACUACCCUUGAUUCUUGUUUUUUUUCUCCCAUACUUGUUCCGGAAAUUUUACCCGAGAGAUUCAAGUUGACCAAGGAUGAAGUUCAUCAAAUCAAGUCAUUGCUUUUGUCUCUUCUUCAGGACAAUAUUGACGUGGAAGGUUUCCUAGAUGAACAGGAAGAAGGAAGCUCUUGGCAAUAUUCAGCAGAGCACUCAAGUAAUGUCAAUGCUCUGCAGAGAUUGGUUUCACAUGUAGUAAAUAUUAUUGAAACCACUGCAGGUGCGCCAGGUGUAGAAAACUCUGGCGGAGAACAUCUUCCAGCCAUCGUAUCUUCUCAAUUGAGAGUUUGUUUGUUAAAUGCAAACUUUGGGCUGGGAGAUUCUAAAAUAGUAUCUGCAUUGGAUGAUUUUAUUGAUAUUUGGUGGUCUUUGAGGAGGAGAAGAGUGUCCUUGUUUGGACAUGCUGCUCAUGGUUACAUACAAUAUCUUUCUUAUUCUUCUUCUCGUCUUGGCCAUAGUCAAAUGCCUGGUUCUGAAAACAACACGUUCAAGGAAAAAACUGGCGGCUACACUCUGAGGGCUACUUUGUAUAUAUUGCAUAUACUUCUCAAUUAUGGUGUGGAACUGAAAGACACUCUUGAAUCUUCCCUUUUGGCCGUUCCUUUGUUGCCAUGGCAGGUUGCACGCCAGAUCUUGAGCAUUUACUUAUCUUCUUUCAAUUUUAAAGGGAGGCUAGUUUGCUGAAGUGUUGCUGGUAUUGUUUUUGUAGGAAGUUACUCCUCAACUGUUUGCACGUUUGAGUUCUCAUCCUGAACAAGUGAUUCGGAAGCAGUUGGAGGGUUUACUGAUCAUGCUGGCCAAGAACUCUCCUUGUUCUAUAGUUUACCCAACUCUUGUUGAUGUUAAUGCUUAUGAAGAGAAGCCUUCAGAGGAGCUUCAUCACGUGCUGGGUUGUCUGGUAAUGUGAAAAGUUAUGCUUGCAUUUUGCAGCUUCUAUUGUUUUUUGACAACAAUUAUUCUCUUUCGCAUAUAUGGUUAAUUAGCAUCGAAGUUCUCACCAUGCAACAAUUCAUCUAGCGUGACCUGGCUGUGUUUUUUAGUCAGUCUUUUCAGAGUGAGAGUAGUUUUGAUGUAUAUUAUAUAUUUUAGUAGGUUUUUGGAUAAAAAAUCAUUUGGUUUUGGUAGGAAACUAAAACCAGUCAUGAGCACUUCCCUAAUAUCUUAAUUUUUAAGAUCGUUGGUGUCUAGAAUCCCACAUUGGAUGUGAAAUGACCUGAUUUUUUUUAUAAGUGGUGGACAUUCCCCACAUUACAAGUUUAUUUUGUCUUCCUACUAGUCUUUGAUAACGAGAUGUAUCCACUGGAUCACCACUGCCAUCGCUACCAAUUUUCUGAUUAGGAUCUAUUGGAGUAUCAACUGACCUACAACCCCAUCAUCCCAGUUUCUUUUAGAAGGUCUAAAAUAUAUUUCUGUUUUGAUACAACAAUCCUUUUCUUUGAUCUUGCAACUUCCAUUACUAAAAAAUAUUUUAAAGAUCUAAGAUCUUUAAUUUCAAACUCAGUAGCAAGAGAUGCCUUCAAAUUUCUUAUUUCACUAGAAUCAUCCCCAGUGAUAACAAUUUCAUCUACAUAAACGAUCAAUAUUGUCAUUUUAUCUUCAGAAGAAUGUUUCACAAACAUGGUGUGAUCUCUUUGACAUUGAGAAUAUCCCUGCUUCUUAACAAAUUGGGUGAAUUUUUCAAACCACGCUCGAGGUGACUGUUUCAAGCCAUAACGAGACUUUUGAAGCUUGCAACUAGGUUUAGGUUGCAACUAGGUUAAAACAAGAGAGGGAAGGAAAAUUUCUUCUUUUGUAUUGAAACUGAAACAAUACAUAUNNNNNNNNNNNNNNNNNNNNNNNNNNNNNNNNNNNNNNNNNNNNNNNNNNNNNNNNNNNNNNNNNNNNNNNNNNNNNNNNNNNNNNNNNNNNNNNNNNNNNNNNNNNNNNNNNNNNNNNNNNNNNNNNNNNNNNNNNNNNNNNNNNNNNNNNNNNNNNNNNNNNNNNNNNNNNNNNNNNNNNNNNNNNNNNNNNNNNNNNNNNNNNNNNNNNNNNNNNNNNNNNNNNNNNNNNNNNAUAUAUAUAUAUAUAUAAAUGCUGCCAGACUACUGCCAGCUAUCUAAUGAAUGUAGAGAAUAAACGAAAAAUAAAUUAAGAAAUAAAUAAUCAGAGUGAUUUGAUUCUUUCCCAAAAUACAAAUAAAUUUAAAUAAAAAGUCAACUAAUAAACACAAUCAUAUCAGAUCUGAUUGUUGUCUGUCAACAUAUAAGUUUAGGUUCACUUCCCAAAAUAAGUGCUCAGAAAUCUGAACCUAUUGCAACAGUAGCAACCUAGCAACCUAGCAGUAGCCGUUUUGUCUCACGUUUGCAUUGUUGUUACCUAAUGGUUUGAAGUUCUAGCGUGUUACGUGAACACCGUCAUAACUCAUUAGUGACUCGGCUUACUUACCAAAUUAUGCACUAAUUAGUUUGAAUAUAGAUUUUGAAGGGACAAGUAGAUAGCAAUAUGUUUUUCAGCCAAUUUAGUAUCUUGAUGGAUUCUCACAUGUUUGAGCAGACAUCUUUGUCAUGACAUACACUCAUUAGUUUGACUAAUACAUCAAUUGCAGUUGUUAGAAUAUUAGAAAAUAUCUUAUAAUAUCUAUUAUAUUAUAUUAGAGUAUCUUGAGUUAUUCUCUAGGAUCAAUUUAGAAUCAUAGAGAUAUUUUAGAAUAUCUUUCAUUAUUAUUAUGAUUUAUUUCUGAUUUAGGAUUGAGUCUAUGUUUCUCUAUAAAUAGAGGUUAGUAUCGAGUCUUUAGUAAUCAAGUUAGCAUAAAACUAUUAUCAAUAAUAUUCAAACUCUUAUUAUUUUUCUCUCCUGCUUUUCUCUAAAAUCCCACAUCUUCAACAUGGUAUCAGAGCCUAUUUCGAUCCUCCUUGAAUGAUUCCGCCUCUAUUCCGCUGUCGAGUUCCCAACAGUUAGGGAAUAUAAUCAUAGUCUCUCUUUUUCAAAAUUCCGACACAUUUCACUCGUCAUCUCCAGAUUAGGUCAUGCCCGAAAGCGCGUCGCCAAAAGUCGUCACAUGCGCUCUCACGCGCUGCUAAUCUCUCCAGCGAGUAGAUCUCACGCGCCGCCAUCUCCACAGCGUGUGACGUGCGUUUUGACGCCUCUCAGUUGCUGCUUGGUUGGUCAAUCGCGCCUCAACCUCGCAGUUUCGAAUCUGCCCUCAUAUUCUAGUUUCGGUUUACGGUUACACCUACUACCUUCAAGAUCCGCCGUCUCCUGCUGCCUUCCAUUUGCUGUCGCUGCUGGAAAACUUUUCCAGCAAGUUUUCCGACACAACCACUUCUACUGUGUGCGGAAUCUCCCAAUCUACACAACCCAGAUUUUUUAUGUCAAAAGUUGCUCCACACACCGGGCUCAUGUGCCUUCAAGAUCCUUCGUGUUCAUCCCACGCACUGCCGCCAACAGCCUUGAGCUUAGGCGCAUCUGUCCGCCUUCCGACACAAUGUUUCAGUCGUCUAGAUUGGGUUUUCCUUUCUGUUUCGAGACCUACCCUUACUUUCCAAUUUUGAUCAACGAAAAUAUGUGUUGUUAUUCAAACAACUGUUAUCUCUCCUGUUUUGGACGUUUUUUCUCACUCCGUUGAUCGAUCAUGGUUUCAUUUCAUUAGAGUUGCACUGCUUCUUCUUGUGUGUUUGUCAUGUAAUUUAGUUCUUAGUAAUAUAUUAUAACAGUGACUUCUUUUCCCACCGACGAUCAUUCCGGUGGUGUCUUUUUUUCCACAGAUGAAUCAUAUUAGUGAUGAUUUCUUCUUACAUUGAUGAUUAUUUUGACGAUGUCUUUUAUUUUCAUGCCUCAUUUUAUCUUGCCAAUUUGUCCCAGAUGCACUGGCCUUGCCUUUCUCUCCUUGAAGCAGCCUCUCCAAUAUUAUUGGUUUGAAGCUUCCAAACGCAGUUUUUAGAAGAACGGACCUUGUUUUGUUCAAUUGCUUGCCAUGAAUUUCUCUCAGGCUGAUGAUCAUAUCGGCUAUCUGGCUAGACUAUAUUUAUAGCAAUUCUCUCUGACUUCACCUGCAUCCCUAAGUUGCUUUUCCAUCCUUUUUAUUAUUUUGCAGAGCAAAACAUUAUUUUCUUGUAACAAGGUAAAACUUAAUAAGCUAUAGCUUGAGGGGGAGUGUUAGAAUAUUAGAAAAUAUCUUAUAAUAUCUAUUAUAUUAUAUUAGAGUAUCUUGAGUUAUUCCCUAGGAUCAAUUUAGAAUCAUAGAGAUAUUUUAGAAUAUCUCAUUAUUAUUAUGAUUUAUUCCUGAUUUAGGAUUGAAUCUAUGUUUCUCUAUAAAUAGAGAUUAGCAUUGAGUCUUUAGUAAUCAAGUUAACAUAAAACUAUUAUCAAUAAUAUUCAAAUCCUUAUUAUUUUUCUCUCUUCCUUUUCUCUAAAAUCCCACAACUUCAACAGCAGUUAUUGAUUUUAUGCUUACCUUUUCUUAGCUUUCUUGGUCAAAGACACAUAUAGGAUGAUUAAAUUUUCUUUCAUGCAGAGGGGGCUUUACCCUCGAUUGGUUCAAGAUGUUCAGCUGAUGAUAAAUGAACUUGGAAAUGUUACUGUUCUUUGGGAGGAAUUAUGGCUCAGUACUCUUCAGGAUCUUCACACAGGUUGUUUUCCUUAUUUUUCAGCAUUUUAUUGUUCAUGGAAUACCUUUUUAUUGACUCUUUUAAUGUUUGAUGAAUUAAUUUCAUUGUUUUUUUAUUGUACAAUUUGGAAUUUACUGUUCGUGAAGAAAAAUAGGACCAUCUAUAUUUUGUUGCAGAUGUGAUGAGGCGCAUAAAUGUGCUGAAAGAGGAGGCUACAAGAAUUGCCGAAAAUGUCACACUUAGUCACAAUGAGAAGAGCAAGAUAAAUUCUGCUCGUUAUUCAGCAAUGAUGGCUCCAAUAGUUGUGGCUUUGGAACGUCGUUUAGCUUCAACUUCUCGAAAUCCUGAGACUCCUCAUGAAGCUUGGUUCCAAGGAGAGUAUAAAGACCAACUGAAAUCAGCUAUUGUAUCUUUCAAGACUCCUCCACCAUCUUCUUCAGCUCUAGGGGAUGUAUGGCGGCCUUUUGAUGGUAUUGCUGCAUCCUUGGCUUCUUACCAGAGGAAAUCAUCAAUUUCCUUACAAGAAGUUGCACCACGUUUGGCUCUGUUAUCAUCUUCAGAUGUUCCGAUGCCAGGUCUUGAGAAACAAAUGAAAGUACCUGAUUCUGGCAAAGAAAGUGAUCUUCAAGGGGUUGUCACUAUUGCCUCUUUCCAUGAACAAAUCACUAUCUUAUCAACAAAGACUAAGCCUAAGAAACUGGGUAUACUUGGUUCAGAUGGUCAGAAGUAUACAUAUCUCCUUAAAGGACGAGAAGAUUUGCGCCUUGAUGCCAGAAUUAUGCAAUUACUGCAGGCUAUAAAUGGUUUUUUGCGUUCUUCUUCUUCUACAUGUAGCAAAUCUCUUGGCAUUCGCUAUUAUUCUGUGACUCCAAUCAGUGGUCGGGCCGGCCUAAUCCAGUGGGUGGAUAAUGUAAUCAGUAUUUACAGUGUAUUUAAAUCUUGGCAAUCCCGUGCUCAGCUAGCACAGUUUUUGGCUAUCAGCGCUGCAAAUACAAAAUCCUCAGCUCCUCCACCUGUUCCUCGUCCCAGUGAUAUGUUUUAUGGGAAGAUCAUACCUGCACUUAAAGAGAAAGGCAUUAAAAGAGUGAUUUCUAGAAGGGAUUGGCCCCAUGAAGUCAAAUAUAAAGUUCUUCUUGAUCUUAUGAAGGAGGUGCCUAGACAUCUUCUUUACCAGGAACUAUGGUGUGCUAGUGAAGGAUAUAAAGCCUUCAGCUCAAAAAUGAAAAGGUAUAUUUAUGGAACUUUUAAGCCUUUACUGGUGUAUUUUGUGGUCAUCAUUUCUGAUAAAAUCAAUGGUGAAGACCAUUGUGUAAAUGUGGAUUGAUAUAUUUAUUCCGACUUACCCUGUAUUCUGGGCCUGGAACUGCUUUUAAACAGACUAAGUUUAGUUCAUUCUACACUUUGAAAGCUUGUGAUUCUUUCAUUACAUACUAACUUAUCCUAUACCUAUGUUUCUUUAUUUCCUCAUAUGGUUAACCGAGUUUGUCUUGAUCUUCUUGUUAUCAUCAGUUGUCAAAUAUAAAAUUCUGUUUGUUGACUAUUCUAUUUAAAAGUAUUUCCAAACUCUAUGUUGUAAAUUUUUCACAAUAUUCUUAUUUUUUUCAUUCUGUAGGUAUUCUGGAAGCCUUGCUGCAAUGAGUAUGGUUGGUCAUGUUCUGGGAUUGGGUGACAGACAUUUAGACAACAUUCUUAUAGAUUUUUGUGGUGGGGAUAUUGUACAUAUUGAUUACAAUGUGUGUUUUGAUAAGGGACAGAGACUAAAAAUUCCAGAGAUUGUUCCUUUCCGUCUUACCCAAAUGAUUGAAGCAGCUUUAGGGCUGACUGGAAUAGAGGGUAGCUUCAGAACAAACUGUGAGGCAGUUAUUGCCAUUCUAAAAAAGAACAAAGACAUACUUUUGAUGUUACUAGAAGUGUUUGUUUGGGAUCCACUUGUGGAGUGGACACGAGGUGAUUUUCACGAUGAAGCUGCAAUUGGCGGUGAAGAAAGAAAAGGCAUGGAGUUGGCUGUUAGCUUGAGUCUAUUUGCAUCUCGAGUGCAGGAAAUUCGUGUUCCCUUACAGGUACCUACCAAAGUAAAAUCUAUAUAUGUAUGUACAAGGAAAUAUGUGGCCUGACAUAUUAGGAUUAGUUGCAUUCCAAACUUUAUUGUACAGUGUUUGGAAAGUCAGGUUUUUCGUGGUGUGACCGUGCGGCAGCAUGAAGAUAUGCCAUCAAGAGGAGUAAGGCUAUAGCAUGACGGGAGUGAAGCAAACAUGCAAAAAAUCAUGCACUUAGUUGAGAUCUUGUUUAGAGUGCUAAGACAAAUGUGUGCAUGCACGUGAUUCAUUAGUUAGUGUAGGUUAUCCAUGUUACAUGAGAUAAUUUUAGAAUUUGCAUGAUGUGUGUAAAAAAAAUAUGCAUGUUUUUUCAUACUUUGAAUUAUUUGUUUGUUGUAACCUUCAAUUAGCAAAUCCUAUGUGUGAAAUUUGUCGCAAUACAACUUAUCUAUGUGUUUAUAUAUUUUAUAUUAUUUUCGUGAUAUCUAACAUAUUAUUAAUGGUUAUUUUUUUCUGCCUCCAAAAUCUGAGUAGGAGCACCAUGAUCAAUUAUUGACUAGCCUGCCAGCUGUUGAAUCUGUACUUGAGGUAAUGAUGAAAUAAAUACCGCAAUUUUUUGGCUACAUUUAGAUGACAGCUUUGGUUAGUUAUUUCUUUAUUUGAAUUGACUUUGAGAUCUAUGUACCAGAGGUUUGCUGAUGCACUAAAACAAUAUGAGCUCGCCUCUUCUGUAUACUGUCGAGCUGACCAAGAGAGGUCCAGCCUUAUAUUACACGAGACAUCUGCUAAGUCAAUUGUUGGUGAAGCAACCCGUAGUUCAGAGAAAAUUCGAGCUUCGUUUGAAAUUCAGGCUCGAGAAUUUGCUCAAGCAAAGGCUUUGGUUGCUGAGAAAGCUCAGGAGGCAAUGACUUGGGCUGAGCAACAUGGAAGGAUUCUUGAUGCUUUACGAUGUGACUUAAUCCCAGAAAUAAAUUCUUGCUUUAAGCUGAGUAACAUGGAAGUUGCCUUAUCUCUUACAUCUGCAGUUAUUUUAGCAGGUGUUCCACUAACUGUUGUUCCUGAGCCAACACAAGCCCAAUGCCAUGAUAUAGAUAGGGAAGUUUCUCAAUCCAUAGCUGAGUUGGAUGAUGGACUAACUUCAGCCAUAACUUCUCUGCAAACGUACUCAUUGGCUCUGCAAAGAAUCCUACCGUUAAAUUACCUCUCAACUAGUGCAGUACAUGGCUGGGCUCAAGUUCUAGAAUUAUCUGUCAAUGUCCUGUCAUCUGAUAUUCUCUCUCUUGCCAGAAGGCAGGCUUCUGAACUUUUUGCAAAGUUUCAUGUAGAUAGCACUGAUUCUAUCAAAUGCAGUUAUGAUGAUAUUUGUUUUAGAGUGGACAAGUAUGCUGUAGAAAUAGAAAAAUUGGAAAAAGAGUGUAUGGAAAUAGAAAGUUCUAUUGGCUUAGAGUCAGAAUCAAUAACUAAGGACCACCUUUUGUCAGCUUUCAUGAAAUUCAUGCAGUCCAUUGAUCUUUUAAGAAGGGAGGGUGGAAUAUCUUCUGUUCAGUCUAGAUAUGAUGGGACAAACAAUACUAGACUUUUAGGCGAGCUAGAAGAGGAGAGGGAGAAAGCCCUAUCAAUACUAAAUAUUGCUGUAAGUUCAUUUUACAAUGAGGUUAAGCAUAGAAUACUUCAUAUAUAUAGUGAUUUGUCAGGCAGAAGAAAUCAAUACAACAUGUUGCAGAACGAUUCUGGAACUAUUGUUGCUGAGUUUGAAGAACAAGUAGAAAAAUGUAAUCUGCUGACAGAGUUUGUCAAUGAUCUACGGCAAUUUAUUGGAAAGGACAUCCCUUCUGUUAAUAUAAACAAAGAUAAUUCAAAGUUUUCUUCUGAAAGUAACUGGGUUUCCAUUUUCAGAACCACUUUGUCAUCCUGUAAGGGAUUGAUUAGUCAAAUGACUGAAGUUGUUCUGCCAGAUGUGAUACGAUCUGCUGUUUCAUUAAAAUCAGAAGUGAUGGAUGCAUUUGGGUUGAUCUCACAAGUUCGAGGGUCUAUAGAAACUGCAUUGGAGCAGGUUGUGGAGGUUGAAAUGGAGAGAGCAUCACUGUUUGAACUUGAGCAGAAUUAUUUUGUUAAGGUUGGUCUUAUUACUGAGCAGCAGCUGGCUCUCGAAGAAGCUGCAGUUAAGGGCAGGGAUCAUCUUUCAUGGGAAGAGGCAGAGGAACUUGCAUCCCAAGAGGAAGCUUGUAGAGCACAACUUGACCAGCUUCAUCAAACUUGGAGUCAGAGGGAUGUAAGGACUUCUCAACUUAUAAAGAGAGAAGCUGAUAUUAAAAAUUCCCUGGUUUCUGUGAAUCGUCAAUUUCAAUCUCUAGUUGGUGUGGAAGAAGAAAGCGAGCUACAUAUUUUGAGAAGUAAAGCUCUAUUGGCUGCACUUGUUAAGCCUUUCCUAGAACUAGAAUCCAGUGAUAUUAUGCUGUCUCCACCUGAUGGUUCUGUUGUGAUUCCCUCGAGUAAAUUUCAUGCUCUUGCAGAUUUUAUAAAUUCUGGGAAUUCUAUUUCUGAGUAUGUUUGGAAAGUUGGAGGUUUAUUGGAUGAUCAUUCAUUCUUUAUUUGGAAAAUAGGUGUUAUAGAUUCUUUUCUUGAUGCAUGCAUACAUGAUGUAGCUUCGUCAGUCGAGCAAAAUCUAGGCUUUGACCAGUCACUCAAUUUUAUGAAAAAAAAGCUUGAGAUCCAACUUCAAAAACACACUAGUCACUAUUUGAAAGAAAGAGUCGCCCCUAGUUUGCUGGCCUGCUUAGAUAGAGAAAAGGAGCACUUGAAACAAUUGACAGAUUCAUCAAACGAACUUUCUUUAGAUCAGGUGAAAAAAGACGGGGCUGUGACGAAGGUUUUACUUAUGCUUGAUGAGUAUUGUAAUGCACAUGAAACUGCUAGAGCAGCAAAGUCAGCAGCUUCUUUCAUGAAAAGACAGGUGAAUGAGUUGAAAGAAGCUCUUCGAAAAACUACCCUCGAGGUCGUUCAGAUGGAAUGGAUGCAUGAUGUUUUUUUGAACCCAACAUAUAACAGAGGAAUCAAAUAUGAGAAGUAUCUUGAUACCGAUGACAGCUUGUAUCCAAUCAUUUUAAACCUCAGCAGAUCUAAAUUAUUGGAAAAUAUACAAUCUGCCAUUUCAAAAAUCACGUCGUCAUUAGAUAGCCUUCAGUCUUGUGAACAAACUUCUCUUAUAGCUGAAGGACAGCUAGAGAGAGCAAUGGGCUGGGCUUGUGGGGUUCCAAGUUCAAAUAGUUCUGGAAAUUCUUCAACUAAAAAUUCAGGAAUUCCUCCCGAGUUCCAUGAACAUAUUAAGAAACGGAGGCAGAUUUUAUGGGAAUCUAGAGAAAAAGCAUCAGACAUGGUGAAGUUAUGUAUGUCAGUAUUAGAAUUUGAAGCAUCAAGAGAUGGGUAUUUGCUUAUACCAGGGCAACCAUAUCCCUUUAGGAGUAGUGUUGAUGGAAAUACAUGGCAGCAAGUGUACUUGAAUUCACUAACAAGAUUGGAUGUUACUUUCCAUUCUUAUACACGUGAGUUUGCUAUAUUCCUCUGCAAUUGAGUCUCUUCGCAGCAAUUAAACUUCUGCAUGAAAUUGAAAAUGUGCUCUCCUGUUCUUGUAAAUAGGUACUGAACAAGAGUGGAAGCUUGCACAAUGCACCGUUGAAGCUGCUUCCAAUGGCUUAUAUACUGCAACCAAUGAACUCUGCAUUGCCUCUCUGAAAGCAAAGUCAGCUUCUGGUAGAUCUCAUCGAUCUUGGUUGAUGGUCAUUUGGACAUUGAUGUUAAUACACACAUAUGCAUGCUUUAUUGAUUUUUGGAUGUAGCAGCGUUGUCUCUGCAUUUGUUGAUUUAAUAUGUUCUUUACCUUUAUAGGUGAUUUACAAAGCACAGUUCUUUCAAUGAGGGAUUGUGCAUAUGAGGCUAGUGUCGCAUUGUCUGCUUUUGCUCGGGUUUCAAGGAUACAUACUGCUUUAACUUCUGAAUGUGGUUCUAUGCUAGAAGAGGUGCAGUCUUUAAAGUAUUUGAUGUUGUCUUGUAUUACUGUGGAUUAUAAUUUGAACUAAUUUUCUGCUUGGUGUAUAGAAUUUAAUGUCUAUUGAUGGCCAAUCCAUGUAUUGUUUAUACGGUUCUAUAUUGAUAAUUUACAGGCUGUUAAUUUUUAUGCUAGUGAAGGAUUUUUGGUUAAUGAUAUCCUGCAUUGCUUAUUGUCUUCUAAAUUUUAAUCUUAACAAAACCAAGUUGAUCACUCGAUCUAAUAUGGCAUUUGAAUUUUGAAUAUUAGUUUAAUUAGAUUAUUGGGAAAACCCAAGUUCCACAUUGAACAGAGAUAAGACUUGAAAUUAGGUCCAACCCAAACUUUACAUGCCGAUUUUGUCGAGGUCAAAUUAGGUCCAACCCAAAUUCUAAGAUGGUACAGAGUCUACUCAAGAUUCAUUCGGCCACCUGCUAUCAGGUCAUUGUUAUCGAGCCACACUCUAGAUUUUUAGUCCUGGAUGUGAGGGAAAUGUGUUACGAGUUUCACCUUACAAGCUGGUUUUGUAAGGUCGAGUUAAGUCCAAUCCAAAUUCUAAGAUGGUACCGGAGUCUGGUUGUAGUAUAGUGGUAAGUAUCUGUAGCCCUUACCUGUUAACCAUGUAAUGGUAAAUUACAAACCUCCUUCGCACCAAAUAUCCUAAUCCAUUAGAAGGAUUAGGUGUACAAAUAAGAAAAGUCCCUGAUUACCCAAUCUUUUGUUUUAUUUAUUUAUUUAUUAAUUUUUUUAUUAUUAUUAUUAUUAUUAUUAUUAUUAUUAUUAUUAUUAUUAUUAUUAUUAUCCAUCUGUAGCUAGCAAAUAAUCCAUAAAAAGUGUACAAAAAAGUUACUAUGUUUCUUUAAUCACCUUAGGUCCUCUUUCCAUGAAUUGUUUGUUACCUAAUGUUGCUUUGUUUUUGUAGGUUCUAGCAAUCACUGAAGAUGUACAUGAUGUUUACAAUCUGGGCAAAGAGGCAGCUUCAGUCCACGUUUCUCUCAUGGAAAAUCUUUUAGAGGUUUAACUUAUCCCUUUGUAGCUUUAUAAAUAUGACAAUCAAACUUUGGCUGUAACUGUCCAUUCUAUAUUUCCUGAUAUCAAACACCCCCUAAAGUAAAAUUGAAAUUUGGUGGUUUUAUGUUUUUGAUAGGCGAAUGCCAUCCUUCUUCCACUUGAAUCCGUGUUGUCUAAGGACGCAGCUGCUAUGGCUGAUGCUAUAGCUAGGGAAAGCGAGACCAAGAAGGAAAUAUCACACAUCCAUGGACAAGCUAUAUAUCAAUCAUACUGUUCAAGGAUUCGGGAGUCCUGUCAGACCGUUAAGCCCUUGGUGCCGUCUCUGACAUCAGCUGUGAAGGGACUUUAUUCAUUGUUAACCAGGCUAGCAAGAACAGCUAAUCUCCAUGCUGGGAAUCUGCACAAAGUAAUGACGGUUUCAAGAUGAUUUUGGUUGCAUGUUUCUCUUUUAUACAUAUGUUUCUCUUUUGUAAGGAAAUUCGCACAAAAAAGUUGUGUAGAGAAUUUCUUUUUUGUUUAUAUUUUGAAAGAACAAAUAUAGAUCUGCACUCUUUGUUUUCAGGCUCUUGAAGGAAUAGGAGAGAGUCAGGAAGUAAAAUCACAGGAUAUUGCUUUGUCUACGUCAGAUGGUGGUGGUGGUGACGUUGUUGAGUUCGAUGGUAAAGAAAGGGAGAGUCUCUCUAGGUCUGAUGAUGAUAAGACAGAAGAUUUCACUGGCUUUUCUCGACUUUCUUUGGAAGAAAAAGGAUGGAUAUCACCACCAGAUAGCAACUUCUGUAGCAGCUCAGGAUCUGACAUUACAUCAGCUGAAGUUAGUCUUCCUGGUAGCUUGAAUGAUUCAUCAGAAAGUAUAGAUAUGCUUUCACAGGUGUCGAGUAGCAGAAACCCCAUCGGUCAUUUACAUACCACUUCCUUGUCUCAAACUGAUGUGGAAGAAAUCUCACUUUUUGAGGUGUCGAAGUCUUUUCCUCUGGAAGCUGAUCUUGACAGUGCUGAUUCUGUGAACCUAACUAAUGAGGCCACUGAGCAACCCAAGGCUAGGCCCUUUCCCAUUGAUAAAUCUGUUGCCAGCCCUGCUGUCUCUCGGAAUCUAUCGGAUCAGAACUUAGACAAAUUUAAUGGUGAAGAUGAACUGCUUUCUACAAAUAAAGCUAUCAAUACCGGUACUCGAGUAGGAAGAGGUAUAUAUAUUCAACUAUUUCUUUCUUGUCACCUUUCAUUUGAUUUAAAUCUCACAUUAGUAAAGAUUAUAACUUGAUGAAAGAAUAUGAACCUUAUAAAAUUUAUAUUACCUAUAUCAAAUUAAAAGAAAAGAUGUAUCACUCUGAUGGACUCAAACCACUCACGCUUGGCUUUAGUAUGAAGAAUUCAAAACUAUCCUGUAGAAGGAAAGCUAAUCAAAGCCAAGAGGAAAUGUAAUACUCUAUGCAUUAGAGUUUUGCUAAAGUCAACACUCAAUCUUAUCUUUAGUUAUUUUAAAAAAAGAUGUAAAAAAAGCUGAAGUUAGUAGGUUUUAUGAUUUAUUAUUCCUUUUGUAUCCUUACAUAACCCUACGUUUGUGGUUUUUGUUCUUUUGGAAUUGGUUGGGGCCUUUAUGAAAUCAUGAUUUAUCUUUCGUUUCAAUUCUCUACAUUUGGCGGUACACUUUCCCUAAUCUAUUUUUUAUAUACAUUAAAAAACUCUACAAAACCCUUUAUUUUGGACAAGACUGUGAGGCAGAAACAGCCAACAAUUUGACACCCACCUCAUAGUAUCUGUAUCUAUUAAUAGUAUCAUUUGACUUCAUAAUAUCUCAUGUGAUUGAAAGUUGCCUGGAAAUAAAAUUGAUAUGCUCUUUUCUGUUUGCACUUAUCUCUAGGCAAAAAUGCUUAUGCCUUGUCUGUAUUGAGGCGGGUUGAGAUGAAAAUUGAUGGUCGAGAUAUUUCUGAAAACAGGUAUGGUUAUAUAGCUCUCUUUGGAACUAGUUAUUCUGCUGAAUUUUUUUACUGAUACCAAACUUAAAUUGAAUUUCAGAGAAAUUGGUAUUGCAGAGCAAGUGGAUUAUCUACUAAAGCAAGCUACUAGUGUAGAUAAUCUUUGCAACAUGUAUGAAGGUUGGACACCAUGGAUUUGAGGUUUCAAUUUCAAGCGGUUUCUUAGACUUGAUCAUCUUAAACUGAAGUCCCAUUCCCAAUAUCAUACAAGAACUUGCCUCAGGCAUUGUUCAGUUGAUCAAGGUGAGGAAUAGGACCAUUGGUGUGAUUAUUUCCUUGUGAUAAGGGAACUCCCACUCCAAUUUUUUGCAGGUCCAUUUGUCUGGCCAUAUCAUGAAGUCUACCAAUGAUCCCAAUCAGUAGUAAUCUAUGCAUGGCCAAAACCGAACUGUAUUAUGUUUAGACUAGAUUCUGCCAUCGCUUUGAUUUCAGCAUUUGUCCUGGCAGAGUUAUUAUUUCAUACCUUGCAUGUGGUUUUGCAUCUGCUAUCCCAUGAUAUGCUGCAGAGAAGUCCAAGCAAGGGUAACAGUAACAGCUGGUCUCGUGGGAGAUGUAAACAUAUUUGCCUGCCUUCUCUUCUGGUGCAAACAAUGUACUGCAGCUUUGAACACCUGUUACUGGCAUUGUCAUAUUGAUGGAGGAGUAUGAUUUGGAUCCUCAGUUCUGGAAGGUUAAAAGAAAAGACGCCAUAUCCUAACAGUCGGGCUGUGGGUUAUCCAGUUACUGUUUUGGCUGGAGCAUUAUAUUUUUGCAAAACUGAAGUCCAGCAUCAGUAGUUGCACAUAUCCUUGUAUCAUUUAUAUAUAGUAGAUAUAGGUUUAAGAAUCAACUGAGUUUUCAUUUCCUUAUUUAAUUGGAUGUAUUUAUUCAAUCCUGCCCAAGAUUGGCUUGGUGAUUGAUAUUUGAACCCGUUGACAAUUUGUUGUAAUAACUUUGAGGUCCUUUUUAAAUAAUGUACCAAACAUGCCUUCACCCGAGUAACUAACAUCAAGUAAAAAAACUUGUAUAAUGAAGCACAUGGACUCCUAAAAUAAUAAAGUACCCGUUUUGGAUACUCAUCCGGUGCGUACUUAUGGUACUUUGUUUUCUUAUGAUUUUAAUGAGUAAAACUGGAUACUCAUCCGGUAGCGGUAUCGUACUAUAUUUAUGGUUCAUGUUUUCUUCAUAUUUUAUUAGCAAUAAAGUAAAUGACUUUUUUAUACAUUAAUAUAAUAUUAACUAUGUAUUUGUUUUUAUUUGCUGUUUUAAUCGAAUAUAAUUUGAAUAUAAUUUGUGACACUUUAAAUUUUAUUAUAAUUUUGUCUGAUAAAUUGAAUAAUUUAGUUUUUUUAAUUAAAUUAUGCAAAAAAUGAUAUUUUUUUAUUAAUGUGUCUGUACCUUUAAUUUAAGAAAAAUACUGUAUCCGGUAUUAGUAUUGGUACCGUGUCUCUAUCUAUGCAUUAUUUUGUACAAAUAAAAAUAAUAAACAAAUUAACUUGUGAUGAUUAUAUUGGUUUAUUUUGAUUUUUUUUUAUUUUACUGUAGCGUUUGUCAAAUAUUAUUUCUCAAGAAUCAAUAUUAUAUUAUUUUGGCGUUGUUUGUCACAAAAUUGUCUGUAAUUCAUGGUCUAAAACUAUUUAGAAAUUUAUAAGUAAAGCCUGCUUUUAUAAUCAAUCGCAAGAUACUUGUCAGUGGUUUGUGGGUUAUAUAAUAGUUCUAUUAUUAUCAAUAAAAGAACAACCCAUCAUCAGAUCUCACAAAAUGAAACUUGUAAUAAAUAUUACCUAUGUUGUCAACAUAAUCCCGACGCGAUCAUGCUAUCCUGAUGCAGUGGAGGAGCUGGCUGCGACGCCACCAACUAAGAAAAUGCGUUCGCCAGUAGCGGCAAACUCUCGGCCGCAAAUCUCACUAUCAUUGUGGCAAUCUCUCGGCUGCAAAUCUCGCUAUCAUUGUGACCCGCUAUUCCAGUCUGACCUGCUAUCGCUCUAUAACUUUUUCAAAAACACAAGUUUUAUCUUUUUUUAUUAGGUCAUUCUACACUCACUUGAAUCUUAGUUUUUUAUCAUUAUAAAUCCACAAAAGGGGUUGACCGCGAAACCAUUGAUUGCAGUUACUGUUAAAACUUGAUUUUGAUGUUGCAUUUUGAUUAUUAAGUAUGAUUAUCCUUUAAAAAAUGACGGAAAAAAAUAUAUCGUAUCACAUCUGGCAGAACAACUUCAGAAGAAAACUUUGAAUUAUCUUUGUUUAUAUCACAACAGAAAGGGUGUCCUUUCCAAUAAAUGCCGUAGAUCAUUGACAAACUCUGUCAGGUGAUUACAUUUUUCUACUUGUUCUUCAAACUCAGCAACAAUAGUUCCAGAAUCAUUCUGCAACCUGCUGUAUUGAUUUCUUCUGCCUGACAAAUCACUAUAUAUAUGAAGUAAUCUAUGCUUAACCUCAUUGUGUAAUGAACUUAAAGCAACAUUUAGUAUUGAUAGUGCUUUCUCCCUCUCCUCUUCUAGCUCCCCUAAAAGUCUAGUAUUGUUUGUCCCACCAUAUCUAAACAAUACAUGGAUUGGACAUCAAAAGACAUUGAAUUCUAUACACUAAGCGGAAAAUUAGUUCAAAAUUAUAAUCCACAGUAAUACAAGACAACAUCAAAAACUUUAAAGACUGCACCUCUUCAAGCAUAGAACCACAUUCAGAAGAUAAAGCAGUAAGUAUCCUUGAAACCCGAGCAAAAGCAGACAAUGCGACACUAGCCUCAUAUGCACAAUCCCUCAUUGAAAGAACUGUGCUUCGUAAAUCACCUAUAAAGGUAAAGAACAUAUUAAAUCAACAUAUGCAGAGACAACGCUGCUACAUCCAAAAAUCAAUAAAGCAUGCAUAUGCGUGUAUUAACAUCAAUGUCCAAAUGACCACCAACCAAGAUCGAUGAGAUCUACCAGAAGCUGACUUUGCUUUCAGAGAGGCAAUGCAGAGUUCAUUGGUUGCAGUAUAUAAGCCAUUGGAAGCAGCUUCAACAGUGCAUUGUGCAAGCUUCCACUCUUGUUCAGUACCUAUUUGCAAGAACAGGAGAGCACAUUUUCAAUUUCAUGCAGAAGUUUAAUUGGUGCGAAGAGACUCAAUUGCAGAGGAAUAUAGCAAACUCACGCGUAUAAGAAUGGAAAGUAACAUCCAAUCUUGUUAGUGAAUUCAAGUACACUUGCUGCCAUGUAUUUCCAUCAACACUACUCCUAAAGGGAUAUGGUUGCCCUGGUAUAAGCAAAUACCCAUCUCUUGAUGCUUCAAAUUCUAAUACUGACAUACAUAACUUCACCAUGUCUGAUGCUUUUUCUCUAGAUUCCCAUAAAAUCUGCCUCCGUUUCUUAAUAUGUUCAUGGAACUCCGGAGGAAUUCCUGAACUUUUAGUUGAAGUAUUUCCAGAACUAUUUGAACUUGGAACCCCACAAGCCCAGCCCAUUGCUCUCUCAAGCUGUCCUUCAGCUAUAAGAGAAGUUUGUUCACAAGACUGAAGGCUAUCUAAUGACGACGUGAUUUUUGAAAUGGCAGAUUGUAUAUUUUCCAAUAAUUUAGAUCUGCUGAGGUUUAAAAUGAUUGGAUACAAGCUGUCAUCGGUAUCAAGAUACUUCUCAUAUUUGAUUCCUCUGUUAUAUGAUGGGUUCAAACAAACAUCAAGCAUCCAUUCCAUCUGAACGACCUUGAGGGUAGUUUUUCGAAGAGCUUCUUUCAACUCAUUCACUUGUCUUUUCAUGAAAGAAGCUGUUGACUUUGCUGCUCAAGCAGUUUCAUGUGCAUUACAAUACUCAUCAAGCAUAAGUGGUUUGUACGUGACCAUCUGAACCAAGUAUACCCAGUUUCUUAGGCUUAGUCUUUGUUGAUAAGAUAGUGAUUUGUUCGUGGAAAGAGGCAAUAGUGACAACCCCUUGAAGAUCACUUGCUUUGCCAGAAUCAGGUACUUUCAUUUGUUUCUCAAAACCAGAAUCAUGAAAGAAGCUGUUGACUUUGCUGCUCAAGCAGUUUCAUGUGCAUUACAAUACUCAUCAAGCAUAAGUGGUUUGUACAUGACCAUCUGAGCCAAGUAUACCCAGUUUCUUAGGCUUAGUCUUUGUUGAUAAGAUAGUGAUUUGUUCGUGGAAAGGGGCAAUAGUGACAACCCCUUGAAGAUCACUUGCUUUGCCAGAAUCAGGUACUUUCAUUUGUUUCUCAAAACCUGGCAUCGGAACAUCUGAAGAUGAUAACAGAGCCAAGCGCGGUGCAACUUCUUGUAAGGAAAUUGAUGAUUUCCUCUGGUAAGAAGCCAAGGAUGCAGCAAUACCAUCAAAAGGCCGCCAUACAUCCCAUAGAGCUGAAGAAGAUGGUGGAGGAGUCUUGAAGGAUAAAAUAGCUGAUUUCAGUUGGUCUUUAUACUCUCCUUGGAACCAAGCUUCAUGAGGAGUCUCAGGAUUUCGAGAAAGUUGAAGCUAAACAACGUUCCAAAGCCACAACUAAUGGAGCCAUCAUUGCUGAAUAACGAGCAGAAUUUAUCUUGCUCUUCUCAUUGUGACUAAGUGUGAUAUUUUCGGCAAUUCUUGUAGCCUCCUCUUUCAGCACAUUUAUGCGCCUCAUCACAUCUGCAACAAAAUAUAGAUGGUCCUAUUUUUCUUCACGAACAGUAAAUUCCAAAUUGUACAAUAAAAAAACAAUGAAAUUAAUUUAUCGAACAUUAAAAGGACCAUAAUUGGAGAUUAGUUUUCACUGGUAAGCUGCACACACACCAGCUGAACUUGAAUAUGUACUCACUAUUCCACAUUUACCUUUCAGAGUUCAGAGGCACAAAUUUCAGUUACACUUAACUAACAUUGUUGAUCAUAGCAGCGACCAAUCCCCAUAUAAGCACAUGUUCAUUUAUCAUCAUUUCCCCCUAGGUCAUCAUCUGUCUCCAUUCCCUCAAUUAAAGAUAGGUAGGUGUUGUCAUCAGGAGUAAUGCCUUUGCUGACCAUUUCUCUGAGGAGCUCUUCAGCUUGCUCACCUUCGCGGUUUUUGCACAAGCCUUGAAUAAGAGCAUUGUAAGUGAGAAUGGUAGGAUCAAAUCCUAUAGUCAACAUUUCAUCUUUAACUCUAAAAGCAUCCUUCAUGUCUCCUCUUUUACUGUAACCUUUAAUAAGUGUAUUGUAACUAAUAUGAUCAGGUUUGAUCCCCCUUCUCUUCAUUACAUCAAGAAGUUUCCGAGCUUCUUCCACUUUCCCCUCCCUGCAGUACCCUUGCAUCAAGGAAUUGUACGUGACUUCAUCGGGAAAAACCUUUGCAUCAUCCAUCUCUUUCAAGAGUUGAAAAGCACUAUCGAUGUUGCCAUUUGCACAAUGACCAUCGAUCAAUGCAUUGAAAAUUAUGAUAUCUGGCAGCAGACCUUCGUCUUUAGUCUUCUUAAACAACUCAUCUGCCUCCCUCAUCCUAUGCCUUUUCCCAAGAACAUAUAUAAGCGAUGUAUAUGUUACCAGUGUCGGUCUAAUCCUUCUUUCCACCAUUUCCUCAUAAAGAGUGAAAGCUUUCUUUGCAUCCCCACAUCUGCAAUAGCCAUUAAUCAGUAUGUUAUAUGUAACAACAUCAAGCUCCAUUCUUCUUUCUCUCAUUUCUUUCAUCAUAUCCUCAACUUCCCCCAUCCUCCUUUCCAUAAACAGUGCAUGAAUAAACACAUUGUAGGUGACAAGAGAAGCAACUAUGCCUCUACUCAUCAUCUCAUCCCUAUAACCAAAAGCCUUAUCCAAAUCCCCUUUAUUGCAGCACCCAUCAAUUAAAGCAUUAUAAGUUACAGCAUUAGGAACUAAACCAAACUCCGACAUUUUACAAAGUAAAUCAGCUGCCUCAUCAAUCCUUCCUUCUUUACACAACCGAGAAAUAAAAGAAUUAUAGGUAUAACAAUCCGGUUUGAGACCUUUAUCUUUCAUCUUUUGAAAAAUCGCAUGAGCCCUUUCAAACUUGCCUCUUAAACAGUAUCCAUGUAUAAGUGUGUUAUAAGUAACAAUAUUAGGCUUCACACCAAAAGCUUCCAUAUAAACAAUAAACUCCUUAGCCUUUUUCAACUUACCUUCUUUACACAAAACAUUGAUCAUUAUGUUAAAAGUGCAAACAUUAGAUUUGAUCUUCAUCCUAAACAUAUCAGCAUACAAAACCCAAGCCAUUUGGGUUCUAUUCAAUUUCAGGAAAAGACUCAAAACCUGAUUGCAUGUUUCGGUUUUGGGGACAAUCCCAUUUUGUGUCAUCAAGUGAAAACACUCAAGAGCCUCAGUGGGUUUCCUGAGAUGACAAUAAGCAGUGAGGAGAAGGUCAAAGACGAUGGUGGUUUUCGUAUUGAGACGGCUGCGGGCUAGUGACAAUUGGUUGAAAAUGAUGGUGGGGGUGGUGGUGAGGAUAACAGGGUGAAGGAUUUGGAGAGCUGGUUUGGGUGAUGGGAGACGGUAGAGGAUGCAGACGGCGAUGCAACGGGUAGUGAGGUCGAAGCAGUGAGGUUGGUUGUGUAGAUGGGUGAGGAGAGUGUGAACGAGUUGUGGGUUUAGGUGAAGGUGGGAAAGUGUGGAAGAGAGAAGGGAAGGGGUGAGGUUCGCAAGGUGUUCGACGAAAUGCCAGUGAAAAGAUUGGAUGAAAUUGAGGAGUGUGGUUUCAGUGAUUGGUGGUGGGGGUGGGGAAGGGGAAGUAGUAGUGAGAAGGGAGAAAUUUGAGAUAUGACGUGGACGUGUACUUCCCGAUUUGAUGCCGGCGGCUUUCUUGAGGUACCAGGUGACGGAAGGAGAUUUAACUGUGAAAUCAAACGCGUUGUCUUGAGGUACCAAUGGUGGCGCUGGACGUGCGGCUGCUGCCGGAACUCUCAAUCGGAU
rnacentral:lncRNA from 1 species